CCCGCCCUCGUUUACAUAUAAAGUAAACCAACAGCAAAGUGAAGAGCGGCUGCAUUUUUUCCCAAUUUUGAUCAGUUUUUCUGUCUUCGAUCGAAAUCUUUGGAGUUUCUGAAGACUUUCAGUGUUCAAUUUCAACUCAGGUAAGUCCUCAAGCGUCGUCGUUUUAGGCUCAGCUUUUCAAGACGCUAUCAAUUUCUCUUACUCGUUUGGAGCUCCGGAUCGCCGAUUUAGGGUUCGAUCGAUGUGUUUAGGUUCUUGUCUUUUGGGUUUUUGUUUGAUUUUCUAUUUUUGAGUGUUAAUUUUUUUUUUGUUUGCUUUUUUUAUUUUCUCUAAAUCUUUUGGGGUUUAAAGAUUGGAAUUUGAGGUGCGAGGUGUGAAAAAGAACUUAUCUUUGUUGGGUUUGUGAGGUUUGGAGAUUUGGAUUUGUGUUGGGAGUCGAUUGAAGUCGUUUUGUGAUGAUUUUAGUGAGGGUUUGGAGUGACAGGCCAUCGAGAUUCUGAACCCCUGUUUUGUAUUAGGAGUUCGAUUCGUUGAUUGGUUGCCCUUUUGUAGAAUGUUUGAAGCUUUACUUGAUCUAAAAACUCAUCAAUUGUACAGCGGUUCACUGAAGAAAUCGCUGAGCUAGUCCAAUUCUAGAAUGUUCAGAAUCAAAGCUUGUUGCUUGGUUUUGGUUUUUUUUGGCUUUCCUCUUGUGUUUGGUAACGCCCAACUCCGUAUGCUCAGGCACAAAGCUUCCCCAUUUCUUUUGGUGCACAACAAGGACUCUGGAGUUUCUGGCCUUGAUUUUGGGUGUAAACUGCUUGAUGGGAUGAGGGAAAUGUCAGGUUUUGCUCACUUUGUUGUGUAACUGGAAGUUUAUUUGAAUCUUGUGGUGUACUUGAGUGAGUGUUUGUAGAUUGUUAUUUUGGAAAGAUGGUGCCAUCCGGGCCACCCACUCCCAUAGGUGGAGCCCAACCUGUUCCCCCUUCACUUUUGCGUUCGAAUUCUGGUAUGUUAGGAGCUCAGACGGGUUCUGUGCCACCCCAAACAGGGUUCCCUUCGCUUGUGUCUCCAAGAACUCAAUACAAAUUUUUUAAAAGUAAUUUAAAAAAAAAAAAAGCUAAGCGGGGGCGGGGCGGGGCGGGGCGGGNNNNNNNNNNNNNNNNNNNNNNNNNNNNNNNNNNNNNNNNNNNNNNNNNNNNNNNNNNNNNNNNNNNNNNNNNNNNNNNNNNNNNNNNNNNNNNNNNNNNAACUUCUUCUAUGCAAGCUUCGAACAAUUUCUUGAUGAUCAAAUUGAUGGAGAGGACUUGCUUAGGAAUGGCAACGGGGCGGGUUCGGGACGGGUCGCCCCCAUCCCAACCCCGUCCCGUUUAGCAAAAUCAAUUCCCAUCCCCGCCCCGUUUAAUUUUUUAAACGGGACGGGGAUGGGAAUUGAUUUUGCUAAACGGGACGGGGUUGGGAUGGGGGCGACCCGUCCCGAACCCGCCCCGUUGCCAUUCCUAAGCAAGUCCUCUCCAUCAAUUUGAUCAUCAAGAAAUUGUUCGAAGCUUGCAUAGAAGAAGUUCUUGGUAUUCUCAGCAAAUCAAUUCGACAACGUACGUAGAAAAUGUCGCUUAUUCCAAGUAUUUUGGGUGGUGGCCAACGAAGUAGCAUUUCGAUCCUUUCUCCCUAGACAUCUGGGAUUCUUUCGAAGGCUUUCCUUUCAACGCCACUCUUUCCAACAUUCCCAGCACUGUUGGCGAGACCUCGGCCUUCGCCAACACACGUGUUGAUUGGAAAGAGACACUGGUAGCUCAUGUUUUCAAGGCGGAUCUUCCAGGGUUGAAGAAGGAGGAAGUGAAAGUUGAGGUUGAAGAGGGAAGAGUCCUUCAAAUCAGCGGAGAGAGGAGUAAGGAGCAAGAGGAGAAGAACGACAAGUGGCAUCGCAUGGAUAGGAGUAGCGGGAAGUUCCUUUGCAGAUUCAGGUUGCCAGAAGAUGCAAAAACGGAUGAGGUCAAAGCUAGCAUAGAGAAUGGAGUGCUGACUAUGACGAUUCCGAAAGAAGAGGUGAAGAAGGCUGAGGUGAAGGCCAUUGAAAUAUCUGGCUAAGUCAUUGGUCAGAUUUUUUCUAAUUUUCUAUGUAAUUAAGAAGCUAAUUGAUUGUUUUGCUAGAUUGGGCAUGUAUAUGUAAUUUGAAAGAUGUGAUGUGAUGAUUUUUGUCUUGUAUUUUUAUUUUGCAAAUUUUCCCCUUUUUCUUAUGUAAGUGUAUUCUAAGUGGAAUAAAGGAAUAGUUGGUUUUUUCUAACUAGAAAUGAGUUACCAACAUGAUUAUCUCUUUCCUAAGGGAUCCCAAUUUUCACCUUUGAAAUCCUUCAAUUUUAAGACGUGGUUGCGCUGGGUUGAUAUGUUCCAUAUAUAGGUUGGUAAUUGAAUCUGUUACCUCUUUGAUUGAUUCAUAUUUCUAUUUCUAUUCCAAUGUUCAGUCAUAUCCACAGAAAGUGUUAUAUUUAAUCCUGAAUUUACUGUAGCUUUUCUGGCGAUUAUACACAAUAUACUCUUGAGAAUAUUCAUCUCAUCUGAGGCCAUUUACUAUUUUGUUCCUAAUAUUUGGUCCCUAAUUUGGGGGAAAAUGGUGUCAGAACCCAAAUCCAUCCACGUAUUACCUCAUAUAUGAGAAGCAGAAAUUUUGUUUUGGAAUUGUUUUUUAAAAUAGUUUAUUGUUUCUUAGAAUAAAAAAUAGAAAUUGUUUUCUACCUUUAAAAAUAAAAAAUAAGAUAUUCUUAAAAGAAUAUUUUUUAGGUAUUUUUAAUUGUUUUUUUUAUGAUUUUUAUAAAAAAAUUUAUAUAUAUAUAUAAUAAUUAAAAUUUUAAAAAUAAAUAAAAUUUAUUUUUAAAAUAUGGAAAAUAUGUUAACAACAUUUUCAAGUUUUUAAACACACUUAUUUUUUGUUUUUAGAAAGGGAAACUAUUUUUCACAUUGGAAAAUUCUGGUAUAAUUUUUUAAAUAGAAAACAAUGUUUUGAGGACUUUUUUUUUUUCUUUCAAAAUAAGGCCUUUUAUGAAAACAUAUGGUAUUUGUUUCAAGUUAUUUUAAUUUUCUUUUUAAAUAUUUUUUUAAAAUAAUUAUAUGAGUAUUAAAAAUAAUUGAAAAUAAAGUAUUUUGUAUAAAAAUUAUUUUUUAAAGUAUUUAAUUAUAUAAAAAUCACAGACACACUUUUAUUUUUAAUAAACGUCAAAUAAUUAUGUUAUUAUUUUUAAAAUCUGUUUGUCAAGGGUUAGUUUUUUCAAUAAGUGUUCCGAACACGCUUUCAAAGCCUAAAUGAUUCCUUUGGAGGAAUUAGGGAAUUAAGAAAUUAAGGCAUGCAGGUGUGGAAUUUUAAGGGUUGCUUGGAAUCUUGGGGCACUAGGACAAAUAAGACUUGGCUUUGUCUUUGAUAGAAAAAUGUGGAUCAAUUUGAUAGAGAAGGGUUCCACUUUUUAGGUUCCAACCCCACAUUAGACGCGGCAAAAGGUCAUGGUUUGCUAUUAUCUUAUGGAGUAACAUUUGAUAAAUAAUUAUUCUAAAAAAACAUUCAAAAAAUAUAUCUUCAUUAAAAAUAUUUUUAGUAGAAUUAUUUGAUUAUAUUUUCAAAUAAAAUAUUUUCAAAAAUUUGUUAAUAUUUUUUUCCUUUUGAUAGUGAAACAGAUAGUAAAACAAGACAUGGCGGCUGCUGGUGAUGGUGAAUCGGUGAUGUAUGAGUGCAGAACCAUUUGCUGAGGCCAAGGACUAAGGCCAAGAGAGUAUGCAAGUUGUUGAAUGCAUGGUCAAUUGUCGAGUAAAAACUCACUCUCAUGAUGAUCCAUAUGCAUUUUCUAGGAGCCAUCUGCCGUGACCUAAAAAUUGAAGAAAAGUAAUGAAAUUUCUUAGCAGUGUAAAAGAUGGAGAAGUAAAAAUGAGAAAAUCCCAUACAUAUAUUACAUUGUCUAAUGUGUUAUACAUGGUCUUUGGUCUGCGCAGAAAUUAAGCUGCUAUCACCUAAUUCCCUGGAGAUAAUUUUGAGUCACGUACUGAACUACACUCUUAAUACAAUGGGUCUCUUGCUUUUUGCUCAUGGCAUCGCCACUCCUUUGGCAGCAUCCACUAAGAACUUAGUUUGGGUCAAAGCUCAAGAAUUGUUCCUGUAAGAACUAGUCCAGGUGUUGUUGUUUUGUGGAUGUUAUUGAGCUUGGAUCUAAUUGAAUUCGGACAAAAGAAACAAGAAAUAGAGAAAAGCUAAAGGCAUCCACUUUUCGGUCUUUGGAAAUUUAUCUACUCUUCGCCAGUCCACCCCAAGAUUCCUUUCUCCCUGCGUCCAAUCCUUUGACGAAUGCUUCCAAUUAAAUUAUUUUGCCUUCGCUUUCCAUGGAAAACAAUAUUCCUUCUUUAGCGCAUAAUCAUCCAAAAAAUAAGCUACAAUAUGACAUUCAAAUGGCGAUGCGAUAAAUUUCUUCUUCCAUCUGGUUCCGUUAUUGUUGUUGAAGAAACCCAAAUAUACUUGGGAAAAUUGUGUUUAUAGACCCUUAUAUGAAAAAUAUAUAGAUUUGAAAAUCCAUAUAACUGAAAUAUGGAUUUUACCUGUUAAUAAUAAAAGUAUUAUUGGUUUCAUGCACUAUUUAUUGUUUAUAUUCCUAUUUCCGAAAUUACCCUCUCUUUUUUUUUUUUCUCCUCCCUGCCACCGCCCCCCCCUUCGUUUUCCCGGAAAAUUCUGCUGCCGGCCCCCCUUCGUUUUCCCGGAAAAUUCUGCACCCCCCCAUUCGUUUCCCCGGGAAAAUUCAUCCUCGUGAUUUUCCCCCAAGAAAACCAAAAAAAUUACUUUUUUUUUUGCUCCCCGUGUUUUCUGGAUCUGCCCCCCUCCCUCCCUCCCUUCCUCCCUCCAUUCGUUUCCGAGAAAAUUCAUCCUCGUUUGAUUUCCGAGAAAAUCCACCCCCAAGGAAAACCAAAAAAAUUGCUUUUUCUUUUGCUCCCUAUGUUUUCUGGAUCUGCCGUCGCCGCCGUCCCCCCCUUCAUUUUCCGGGAAAAUUCAUCCUUGUUUGAUUUCCGAGAAAAUUCAAUCAAAACCCCAAGGAAAACAAAAAAAAUUGCUUUUUUUCCGCCCCCAUUCAUUUUCCGUUUGAUUUCCGAGAAAAUCCAUGCAAAACCCUAAGGAAAACAAAAAAAAUUGCUUUUUUUCCCGCCCCCAUUCGUUUUCCGUUUGAUUUCCGAGAAAAUCUAUACAAAACCCCAAGGAAAAACAAAAAAAAAUUGCUUUUUUUCGGGCCCCGCAUUUCGUUUUCCGGGAAAAUUCGCCCUCGUUUGAUUUCCGAGAAAAUCCAUGCAAAACCCCCAACUCGGAAAUCAAACGAGGAUGGAAACGGGGAGAGUGGGGUUGAGCGGCAGAGGAGGGGGAAACAUAGGAGAGGAAAAAAAAAAGAAAAAAAAAAAAAAAAGGGGUAAUUUCGGAAAUAUGAAUAUGAACAGUAAAUAGUGCAUGAAACCAAUAACAUUUUUAUUAUUAACAGGUAAAACCCAUAUUUCAAUUAUAUUGGCUUCCAAAUCUAUAUAUUUUUCAUAUAAUAGCCUAUAAACCCAACUUUCCCAAUAUACUUUCAACUCAGGCGCCCAUCAAUCUUAUCUCCUCGAUCAAGCUGCUCAAGUUACAGUAAGAGGACCCACCUUCACUAACACAUUUUCUAGCCCUUGUAGCCAUCAUGUCAGCCGUUUCCAAAAGCUCAUCCUUCCUCUCUUCCAUCAGAUCUCUCACCAUUUUCUCAACAAUAAGCCUAUCGCAAGUAUCUUUCAUGUCCGAACCAAGUUUCCAAACAUGGCUUACGAACCUACUGUUGAUCUGUUGGUCUGCAAAGUAUGGCCAGCAAAUCAUUGGCACGCCGGCGCAUAUACUCUCAAGAGUCGAGUUCCACCCACUGUGGGUGAGGAACCCACCUACUGCCGGGUGCGCUAGAACCUCUUCUUGUGGAGCCCACUCCACGAUGUAACUCCUCUCCUUUGCCCCUUCCAUGAGCUCUGCCGGAGUCUGAUGCUCUCCAUCUUCUUCGGCAAGAGAGUCCGUCCGUAUGACCCACAAGAAGCGGCUACUGCUGUUUACCAAACCGUAACAGAACUCUAUGAGCUGCUUCCUUGAGAUGACUACCAUGCUUCCGAAGCUUACAUAGAUAACAGACUUUGAAGGCUGGUGAUCAAGCCACGCUAUGCAGCUUCUGUCUUCUUGCCGGAAACUAUUUGAAGACUGUGACGUCGUCGAUUCAGAAGCAAGCCUGGUUUUCAAGUGCGCGUGGAGAGGUCCAAUGGUGUAGGUUUUUGGACAGUGAUUGCGUAUUUGACCGAGAAUAGGUCCUUCUAAGUCUUCAAACGUAUUAAGUAUGAGCGCGUGGGCUCGAGGAGUUUGUUGCGUCUCCUUCGUUACAAGUAGGAGACCCUCGUCAUCUAGGUUGCUGACUCGGAGAAGACUCGGGAGAUCUCGUUUUCGGAGAAACCCCUCCAUGCCGGGAAUACUGGUUACUAGCUGAUCCAUAUCGUUACCUGUAGUUUAUUCAUGAUCGUAACUAUAUUGUAAAAGAAGAAAACAAAAAUAUAAACGAAUUAUAAUGAACAGAUGAUUUCGUGGAAUUCAAUCUAGAAAGCAUACCUUUGAGGGGAAGUUCACCAGAUUCAAUGAGUUUGAGCGCAGAAAAAUAUGCCCAGAAGGAACAAGCACUAACGGUGCGGAAAGAAAUGAUGGGAAUUCCAACUUCAUUAGCAAUAUCAAUGGUAAAACUCAUCAUCCCAUCUGCUAUGAUGCAGCUGACCGGCGGGCGGGUAUCAGAACCCUGGCCCCUUGAAAUCAUUAGCUCCCUAAAAAUUGGUUUUGCUGUGGCUUUCAAUCCCUCAAACAGAUCCAUCACCCGCUCACCGGUACGUGGAUGGUCCGUGGUAAGCCCAUCAGAUAUUGUUUGGAAACGGAAGCCGGGAUAGCGGCUGAACCUGGUCUGAAUAUCGGUGUGAAGGAAGAGGCGGUGUUGGUUAUAGUCGGAGUUGAGGAAGGUGACGUGGAGGCCGACGACGGAGAGAAGUUCGGCGAGUUUGAGCAUGGAGUUGACGUGGCCUUGAGACGGGAAGGGGAAGAUUAGGACAUGAGGAGACACUGGCCCUUGAUCCAUCUGACUAUUGGUGGACUAUUGUUGCAGAAUAGAACAUGAAUUUAUGCAGUAUUUGUAAGGAAAUAAUCGGUAUAUUCCAAAAAGAGCAAGUGGCUUUCUUGUCUUCAUCAAUGUAUAGUAUAGCUAGGUGGAUGGCAAUUCUCUGAUGCCGUUUCCUAUGAAAUUAUUUUAAUUAAUUAAUGGGAAAGAACUGAUCGGGUGAUUGUUAACUAUGUUGUCCCUUGUGUUUUUGUUUUGCAAAAUUUUCCCUUUAAUUUGUUAUAUAAGUGGUGUUGAUGGCCGGUGUUACCAAGACCACUUCAAUUUUGUGAUGUACUCGUCUCCUCAAUUGAAGAUGAUGCUUCCUUUUUCUGACCUGCAAAAGAUGUCUAGAUAGGGGUCCAGACACCCUCAAAUGCCUUUGUUAGUUUUAUUCUCUAACAUAUUAAUAUUUUUAUGGACCAUUCUCCUUAGGAAUGCUUACUUUCUUUGACCAUGUGAGGACCUUUUAUAGUGUCAGGAGCUUCAUCCCUUUGAAUGGUGGAAAGACUUUUUGGCUGUCAUGAUGGUGCUUAGAGAAUGACAGAGUUAUCAUUAUCCUACAAGCGGCUGUCAGAGAUUGCUGGAGGGAUGGUUUGUCGUCAUCCUUGUCUUUUCACUCUGUAGGCGGCGCAGGGCAAGUCGUGGCAGGUUUUCUAAAGUGACCCAAGAAGGUCCUGUCGAGCAUACUUUUGGCAAAAUGAGUAAUGAUUGUCCGUGAAACGCGAUCAAGAAUCUUGUUUAAGACGCUAGCCACUGGGUCCGGACUGAACAUUCAAACAGGGGGUACAUACCGCAUGUUAGUCCACGUGCUCUUUCGGACAGAGGGUUAGACGCGCCACGUGUCCAAUGGAGUAGUACCUUGUGAGGCCGCCACGUGUACGUUUAGGGGUGGUCCCUACAAGUGGAAUAAAAGAAUAAUUGGUUUUCUCUAACUAGAAAUGAAUUGAUUUAUUUGGUUCUUGAUGAUCCUUCUUACUAUCGACAUGAUUCUCUCUUUCCUGAGUGAUCCCAAUUUUUGCAUUCAAAAUCCUUGAGUUUUAAAACUUGUUAUUGGGUUAUUAUAUUUCACCCGUUGGUAAUUGAAUUUAUUGCCAUCUUAAAGUGAAAAGUGACAACCAUGAACCGGGCCAUAGAUUUUAAAUUAAUGUUAAUUAAUUAGUUAAGAUGUGUCCUUUAAAGCUUGGGAAAUUUAUUAACUAAUGAAACCCAAACAUGGAGGUAUAAUAAUUAAGUUUAAUCUACAUCUAUAAGUCUGUAUGAGGUGGAAUCAAGGGCAGGGUUACGAUUCCAGCCAAAGCUUGAUUCCUGACACUUUUUAAAAAAAUACUCCUAAUAUUAAAAUAUUAGGGGUUUCAAGGGGCCACUAGAGGACCCUUGAAAAAGUGAUGGUGGUAAACGACAAAGAGUAGCAACGCGUCCAUCCUUCAUGAGAGGUGAGUGCAAAUGGUUUGAGUAUUUUGAUGAAAUUUUCUUAAAGUAAAAAAAAUUGAGUGUUACACAUACAUGAUGAGAGGUUUUGUCACAUGGUUACUUAAUAUAAACUGAGCAAUUAUAGGAAUUAUUGAUGCAGUCCACCGAUAACUUCCUUUGAUAUCAUCUCAACUUUUUUAUAUGACAGAUCCAAAAUCCAAUGGGAUUGUUUCCUUAUUCAACGGGAUUAUUUGCUUUAUUCGUGAGUUGUCGGCAAUGUGUCUAUCCUUCAAACCAUGUAUCUACCAGGAAAUCAUACAAAGUGCAUAGUUGGUAGUCAAAUGGACCCACUUUUCUAUUGUUUUAGGCGUCUAUUCAGGUAUUAAACUUCUGGAUCGUCCCAGUACCGCAUCCCUAUUGUGCUUUUAUCUUAAAUUCUUUUUUGACUUUAAUCCAAUUUUCAAUAAUUGAAGUCAUAACAAUAAUUUUUAAAGCAUGGUUGUAGACACGUGCAGAUUCCUUUUUCCUUUAUUUGAUAAAAAAUAUUAUUUUUUAAAAAAUACUUAAAUUCUUUACUUUUUUUUGUUUUAUUUUUAAAGAGCAAAAAAAAAACUGUAUGACUCCAAAAAGAAAACAAGUAUGUGAAAAAACUCAAUAUAAGUCUAGGGGUUAGGUUACCUAUUGAAAAGGUACGGUGAUGAGUCGUAACACUCUUCUAAACUCAUAUACAUAUGGUAUUUAUUAAAUGAAUCGAAGGAAUUGUAACAAUUAACUAAUUAAUUAUGAAUAUCAAAAUUAAUAACAUAAAUUAAUAUAUAUAUAUAUAUAUAUAUAUAAAUGAUAAUAAAAUCAAGUUAUAAGAAUGCAUAAAAUAUGUGAGAAGAGAAUUAUUCAAAAUGAUUUAUUGAACUAAAUAAAAGAUAUUUCAAAAUAAUUAGUUUUCAAGAAAUUUCAAAGGAUUUUAUUAAAAAUAAUUUUAAAUUAAUGAUUUUAACUUGAUAAAUUAUUUUUAUAUGUUUUCUGAAACUCAUUUAACUUAUUUCGCUCUAUUAUAUAAAUAUUAAUUAAUUUAAAAUAUAUAAAUUUUUUAGGAAUUUUAAUUAUAUUUGAUUUUGUUUUAUGUUUUUUUAUGAUGAAAUCGAUUAUGCAAAAACCAUUUUUCCUUAAAUUUUAUUUUAUUUAGUACUUUUUGCAAACCACACACAACCUAAAGUUUUUUUUUUUUUUUUUGUGUCUUAAAAACAAAAAAACAAAAAAUAAAACAAAAUCAGUAGAAAACAAACACUAAAUUUUUUAUUUUGAAAUUUAAAGUUUUAAAUUUUCAACUUCUUUUAUAUUUUUAAAUAAUUUUAAUUGUAAUAUAAAUAAAUAGGAAUGUGACAAGUAUUUAAUCCGCCUAAUGAACGAACGGCAUGCAGGAACGGCCGACGCGAACCAAAGCUUUAAAAAUCAUAUUCAACCAUAAAUCGCAUUAUCAAUUCAAUCAAGAGAUUAGAUCAUCCUACCCUUCACAUCCCGUGAACCCUUAGUCCAACAUUCGUUGUCAUAACUCAUAAGAACCCAUUUCGAUCUUAUCACCGGAGGUUUAUUUUAUUUUAUUUUAUUUUAUUUUAUUUUAUUUAUUUAUUUUUUCUUUUGCCAUUUUUUUUAGUGAUGUCUUUUUCUGAUUAUGUCCCCGCACCUCUUCAAUCAUUUGUUACUACCCCUUUCUUUAUUGCUGGCACUUUGUGUUUUUUCUUUUUUGUCAUUUUUUUCCUUUGUUUCUUUUUUGGCUUUGGUCCCCACCUUUUCAAUCAUUUCUUAUCUCUUUCUCUAUGGCUGGUGCACCUUUUUUUUUUUUAAGAUUUAAAAAUAAUAUUUUGAUAAAAAAAAUAGAUAAAAUUUUGAUUAAAAAUAUUAAUUUUGGAAUUUUCAAAUUUAAAUUCUGAUUUUUUUUAUUUUAUUUUUUCAAAUAUUUAUACCAACACACUUUUUCCACAAGCAUAAGCCUACCACUAGGUUAGAUGUAGCUUCAAAUAUUUUAGUGAUAUAGUAUUAUUUUCAAUCUAUUUCCCAUGCUAUGAUUUAUAACAAUUAAAUAUUUUUUAAACCUUUAAGUUAAAUAAUUUAAAAGCGGGAUGAUUACAAGAAAAAAUAUAAAUAAAAAAAUUAUAUUUUUAAAAUAAUAAAACAUGAAAUAUAUUUGCUAUUUUAAUAGCAAAUAUGCUUUUUAUAUUUUUAAAAUAAUAAAACAUGAAAUAUAUUUGCUAUUUUAAUAGCAAAUAUGUUUUUUUUUUUUGGGUAAAAGACAAACAAUUUCGAUGGCCCAUUAAAUUCCUUUUGGUGUUAAAAGCCCAAUAGUCCCAUUUUGAUCGACCAAUAAGGAAAUUUGGAAAUGGACCUGGAAUUGUGGAAUAAGGCCCAGUAAGGAUGAAAAAAGGCCAGGUAGAUGAUGGAAGGUGGUAAAAGAUUGCAAAAACAUCUCAUUCCUCUCCAAAGUCCAAAUAGGAAAUAUCUCGGAAACGUCGGGAAAGUACCAUAGCUCUUCGUCACCCCCAAUAUAUAACAAGUCCUCUCCAUCAGUUUGAUCAUCAAGAAAUUGUUCGACGCUUGCAUAGAAGAAGUUCUUGGUAUUCUUAGCAAAUCAAUUCGACAACGUACAUAGAAAAUGUCGCUUAUUCCAAGUGUUCUAGGUGGUGGCCGACGAAGCAGCAUUUGAGAUCCUUUCGAAGGCUUUCCUUUCGGCACCACUCUUUCCAACAUUCCCAGCACUGUUGGCGAGACCUCAGUCUUCGCCAACAUGCGUGUUGAUUGGAAAGAGACACUAGUAGCUCAUGUUUUCAAGGCGGAUCUUCCAGGGUUGAAGAAGGAGGAAGUGAAAGUUGAGGUUGAAGAGGGAAGAGUCCUUCAAAUCAACAGAGAGAGGAGUAAGGAGCAAGAGGAGAAGAAUGACAAGUGGCAUCGCAUGGAGAGGAGCAACGGGAAGUUCCUUUGUAGAUUCAGGUUGCUAGAAGAUGCAAAAACGGAUGAGGUCAAAGCUAGCAUGGAGAAUGGAAUGCUGACUGUGACUGUUCCGAAAGAAGAGGUGAAGAAGGCUGAGGUCAAGGCCAUUGAAAUCUUUGGCUAAGUCACUGGUCAAAUCUUUUCUAAUUUUAUAUGUAAUUAAGAAGCUAAUUGAUGAUGAAUAAUGUUAAUGGUUGAUUGUUUUGCUAGAUUGGGCAUGUAUAUGUAAUUCGAAAGAUGUGAUGUGAUGAUUUAUGUCUUGUGUUUUUGUUUUGCAAUUUUUCCCUUUUUUCUUAUGUAAGUGUAUUCUAAGUGGAAUAAAGAAAUAGUUGGUUUUCUCUAACUAGAAAUGAGUUGGUUUAUUUGAUUCUUGAUGAUCCUCCUUGUUACCAACAUGAUUAUCUCUUUCCUAAGGGAUCCCGAUUUUCACAUUUGAAAUCCUUCAAUUUUAAGACGUGGCUGUGCUGGAUUGAUAUGUUCCAUAUAUAGGUUGGUAAUUGAACCUGUUACCUCAUUGAUUGAUUCAUAUUUCUAUUUCUAUUCUAAUGUUCAAUCAUAUCCACAAUAAAAUGUUAUAUUUAAUCUUGAAUUUACUGUAGCUUCCUAGCGAUUAUACACAAUAUACUCUUGAGAAUAUUCAUCUCAUCUCAGCCCAUUUACUAGAAGUAGAAAUUUUGUUUUGCAAUUGUUUUUUAAAAUAGUUUAUUGUUUCUUAGAAUAAAAAAUAGAAAUUGUUUUCUACCCUUAAAAACAAAAAAUAAGAUAUUCUUAAAGAAUAUUUUUUAGGUAUUUUUAAUUGUAUUUAUUUGUUUUUUUUUAUGAUUUAUAUAUAUAUAAUAAUUAAAAAUUAAUAAUAUAGAUAAAUUUUAUUUUUAAAAUAUGGAAAAUAUGUUAACAACAUUUUCAAGUUUUUAAACACACUUAUUUUUUGUUUUUAGAAAGGGAAACUAUUUUUCACAUUCGAAAAUUCUUGUAUAAUUUUUUAAAUGGAAAACAAUGUUUUGAGGACUUUUUUUUUUCAAAAUAAGGCCUUUUAUGAAAACAUAAGGUAAUUAUUCCAAGUUAUUUUAAUUUGCUUUUUAAAUAUUUUUAAAAGUAUUUAAUUAUAUAGAAAUCACAAACACACUUUUAUUUUUAAUAAACGUCAAAUAAUUAUGUUAUUAUUUUUAAAAUCCGUUUGUCAAGGGUUAUUUUUUUAAUAAGUGUUCCGAACACGCUUUCAAAGUCCUAAAUGAUUCCUUUGGAGGAAUUAGGGAAUAAGAAAGGCAUGCGGGUGUGGAAUUUUAAGGGUUGCUUGGAAUCUUGGGGCACUGGGACAAAUAAGACUUGGCUUUGUCUUUGAUAGAAAAAUGUGGAUCAAUUUGAUGGAAAUUUGAUAGAGAAGGGUCCCACUUUUUAGGUUCCAACCCCACAUUAGACGCUACAAAAGGUCAUGAUUCAUGGAGUAACAUUUGAUAAAUAAUUAUUCUAAAAAUACUUUUUUAAAAAAUAUUUUCAUUAAAAAUAUUUUUGGCAGAAUGUUGCGAAACUUAUUCUUAAUGUUUUAAAUUAUUUUCACUUAUUUUUAAAAAAUUAUUUUAAAAAAUAAUCAUAUAAAUAUUAAAAAUAUUAAUUUUAAAACAUAUUUAAAAAAAAGUAAAAAAUAUUUUUUAUUUUUAAACAGAUUUUUAUUUUAUAAAAUAUCAUAAAAUAAUUUUAAAAAAUUAUUCUUAAAAUUUGUUCUCAAAUAUACUUUCUAAAGAACUCGAUGGUUCGUUCGGAUGUGGGAUAAAAUUUAUUUUCUUAAAAACUACAUGGACAUUAUGUGGAGGGAAAUAGUAACAUUUAAGCACACUAAGAAAAAAUAAAACAAAAUAAAAGGAAAAAUAAAAUAUUUAUGUGAUUUAGAAUGGAGGGAUAUCAACAUCUAAAACCCAAUGUAUAUUUUGUCUACCUCUCUUCACUUUUGACUCAUUUUGUUCCUUCACUCUCAAAAUUCUAUGUAAAUAUUAAAUUCGCUAAAAAAAUAAACCAAGUAAUUUGAGUCAAAUACAACACAAUAUCCAAAAGGUGCUAGACUUCACCUCUCAAGUCCAACCCAAUUGAUAAGCCCUCCAAAUCAAUUGGACCGAAUUCAUUUACAAAGCCCCGUUCCUAAGUGGACUGAGAAUGAUAUCUUACUCUUACCAUUAUAUUGUACUCUAGUAUCAAAUGGCUUUCCCCUGCAUUUUAUGACCCAAAUGCCAAAUAUAAGUUGAGUGAUAUGUUACACAUAAGGGCCAUUCACGUUUAGAUUGGACUUCAAAAAAAAAUCAAGAUUAGGGUCUCCAAUGAUGGCAAAUUAUUCCUCAAUGGAUUCAGUAAAUGUAUGUCUAUAUAAAACCAAAUCCAAAUUGAAAGCAUGAAUGUUUUCUUCUUCGGGAAUCCAAAUUUCAAUAAGCACUAGAUGAAUCUCAUCCAAAUACGUUAUCCAUUGUAACACUCAAGAUUUCUUUUAUCCACUGCCAAAUCAUGACAUCAAAUAAUUGUCUUUCAGCUUUGGGAGAGGAAGGAUCCAAAUUCAGCAGCUGGAGACUGUACUUAAAAGAAUGUGAUUAACCUGCUGUUUCAUGGAGACCCUAGGGGGUUUGGCUUUACUGGUAGAAGAAAGUGAAAUUUCCAUGGAAAUCAGGUGCUCAACAAUCCUAUAUCCUCAAUCAAACUGAUCUAGUUACAGUGAGAGGAACCAUCUUCACUUUACGCUUUUUUUAGCUAACGUGUGCAUUAUCAGCUGAUUUCAUGAAUUCAGCCCUCUUCUCUUCCAUCAGAUUUCUGACCAUCUUCUCAAUCAUAAUUCUAUCGCAAGUGUCUUUCAUGUCUAUGCCGAGCUUCCAAACAUGGCUCAUGAACCUACUGUUGAUCUGCUGGUCUGCAAAGCGCGGCCAGCAAAUCAUUGGCACUCCUGCAGUUAUACCCUUUAGAGUUGACUUCUGUUAAGCUAACCAAAUUCACUUAGGAAGUUAGCUAACCUGUAACUAUGGUCAGUUAGUAACUAAAGUCAGUUGGUAACCAAAGUUAAAUUCCAGAAGUUUUGAUAUAAAAACAAAUGUAAAUCAAUCAGAUGAGUUAGUGAAAAAGCAAGAAUACAUUUCAGUUCCAGAAUUUCCAAUACUCUGUUUUCUCUUCGUUAUACUCUGUUUUUUCUGCUACAGCCCUGUUCUCUUCAUUUUCUCUUCAACAAAACAUGGUAUCAGAGCUCCAUUGACACACGUCCAAAAUGGUUACUGAUCACAUCGAUUCCUUUGCACUAGAGAUGUCCUCACAAGGACUCCAAUCUCCGGCAAGAAACUCGUCGAAAGUUUCCUCAAUUCUUACGGGACAAAUUUCUUCUACGCUUCAUCCGAUCUCGGUGAAGCUAGAGAGGAACAAUUACACAAUAUGGCGAUCUCAGGUAUUACCAGCAGCUAGAGCACAUCGACUGGAUCAAAUUCUCAUUGGUAAGCUACCAAAACCUCCAAGAUUCUCUCAAUCAACAUCAGUUAAUUCAUCUCAACCUGCAUCCAAUCCAGAAUAUGAUCAGUGGGUGAUUUUAGAUCAAUUCUUGUUGAGUUGGAUUCUUGCUUCCAUAUCUGAAGCCAUGUAUGGUCAUGUGGUUAAUUGUCAAACAUCAGCCGAAGUAUGGAGUGUUCUUGAAAAACUUUUUGUCUCGAAUUCAAAAGCAAGAACACUUCAACUACGGUUCAUGCUACAAUCAUUAAAGAAAGGUGCUCUAAGCAUAAAUGAUUAUGUGCUGAAAAUGAGAAACAUAGCAGAUAUGCUCUCUGCCUCUGGAAAACCUGUACCAGAUGAAGAUUUAAUUCUUUGCAUCUUAGGUGGAUUAGGACCAGAAUUUGAAACAAUUGUUGUGAAUAUUACAUCUAGAUCUGAGGCAAUAUCUCUACAAGAGGUCCAUUAUCUGCUACAAAGUCAUGAAAUUCGUCUUGAGCAACUUUCAGCAGCAUCUGUUAUUGAUGUUCCACCAGCAGCACAUAUUACAGUUGGAGGUGUUCAAAACUCUAACACUAAUGAUGGACAGUUCAGAGGCUCAAGCAACAAGAAUUUUCGUCCUAGAAAUGUACGUAAUCCACAAACUUCAAGAAUUGUUUGUCAAUUGUGUGGAAAAAUGGGACAUACUGCUAUGAAGUGCUUCCACCGUUUUGAUGUGUACUUCCAAUCUCCACCACGUGCACAAAAUCAACAGUUUUCAUCUCUUCAUCAACCACAACAACCUCAACUUCGGCCACCUCUACUGCAUCAGCCUCAAUAUUAUUCCACAGGGCCACUGGUACCAUCACGUCCAAUUCAGAAUUCACACCAACAACUUGAUUCAACAAACACUUCUCCUCAUGCCUAUAUUGUUGCUCUGGAUCUUGAUUCAAACACUUCGUGGUUUGUUGACAGUGGUGCUACUCACCACAUGACCACUGAUUCCAAUACUCUUGAUGUCUCUGAUCACUACUCUGGCAUAGGUAAUGUUGUGGUGGGCAAUGGACAAACACUAGAUAUAUCUAGUGUUGGUCAUACUUUUUUUCCUUCACGUAAAUCUUCCAAGUCAUUGCAUCUUGCCAAUGUACUUCAUGUACCUCAGAUCACUAAAAAUCUUAUCAGUGUAACUAAAUUCACUCAAGAUAAUGAUGUUAUCCUUGAGUUUGACUCUCAUUGUUGUUUUGUUAAGGACAAGAAGUCUAGAGAGAUAUUACUCCAAGGCAACCUUAAUGAAGGCCUAUAUUAGCUGGAUAUCUCCAAGGUCUCAUCUAACCGGCAGUUUGCAGGUUUCUCUGAAGAUACAAAUGUGUUCCUACCUCAUCUAGCUACUACUCCGUCUACUAUCAACAAACAAUCAGCUGCUCCAUCUGUUGGAUAUAGCCUGCAAGUAAAUAAAAUUGAGUCUACAAGAUGUGUAGAAGACAACAACACGGGUGUUGGACACUUGUGGCAUCAAAGAUUGGGUCAUCCAUGCAACAAAAUUGUGUCUCUAGUACUUGACAGAUUGGGCAUUAAAUCCAAGCUUCAAAAUGAACUCAGUUUUUGUACUGCUUGUCCUUUAGGCAAGGCAAAACAGUUUCCACUUCCUACUACUAUUAAUAAAACACAAGUUCCAUUUGAACUAGUUUUUUCGGAUGUGUGGGGACCUGCACAUACAACUUCAUGUGAUGGGUACAAAUAUUACAUUGCAUUUGUAGAUGCUUUUACAAACUAUACUUGGAUUUAUCCCAUGCAACAAAAGUCCCAAGCAACAUCAAUUGUCUUGCAGUUCAUAGCAUUGGUAGAUCGACAAUUUCCCACCAAACUUAAGUGUCUACAAACAGACUGGGGUGGAGAGUUUCGUCCCCUUCAAUCUCUUCUGCAGAAGAAAGGCAUCCUCUUCCGUCAUCCUUGUCCUCAUGUUCAUCAACAAAAUAGGAAGGUGGAGCAAAAGCAUAGAAGCAUUGUAGAAAUUGGAUUGACUUUGUUGGCUAAGUCUCAAUUGCCAUUUACUUUCUAGUGGCAUGCCUUCUCUACAGGAACUUACCUUCUCAAUAGACUACCAACUCCAGUUCUCCAUUGUAAGACUCCCUAUGAACCCUUGUUUAAAUCAUCACCUGAUUUUUUAUUCUUGAAGACCUUUGGCUGUGCUUGCUAUCCGUAUCUCCGACCUUACAAAAACCAUAAACUAGAAUAUCAGUCAACUCAAUGCACAUUUAUUGGAUAUAGUCUCUCCCAUAAAGGAUACCUAUGUUUGCAUCCUUCCGGGAAAGUUUACAUUUCAAGAAGUGUUAUUUUUGAUGAAAAAACAUUUCCCUACUCAUCUCUACCAAUGAAUGAUUCCAGCCCUACUCCACACACUUCCUCCACAUUUUUCUCUAUACCCCUUUUACAAACCAUGUCAUAGACCUCUUCUCAUCCUUCCAUGUGUCCAACUGCAUCAAGACCAGUGUCUCCUUCUAUACCCUCACCUCCUAUUUCAGUUCCUUCCCUUCAUCCCAUGACUACUAGUUCAAAGGUGGGUACAUUCAAACCCAAACUACUCCCAGACCACAUCACAUACCUGUCUACUUCCGUUUCACCCUCAGACCAACUUCCUACCACUGUUAGUCAAGCGUUGAAAAAUCCCAACUGGCACACAGCUAUGGUUGAAGAAUAUCAAGCCUUAGUCCGGAUCAAUACUUGGACCUUGGUUCUCUUUCAUCCAUCCAUGAAUGUCAUAGAUAGCAAAUGGAUUUUUCGUGUCAAAUAUAAUUCUGAUGGUACCAUCCAACGCUACAAGGCCAGACUAGUAGCCAAAGGAUUUCAACAAUAUGCAGGUGUGGAAUUUACUGAUACUUUCAGUCCAGUGAUCAAAGCCUCUACUAUUCGAGUUGUAUUUACAUUGGCUAUAACAUAUAAUUGGGAGAUUCGACAAAUUGAUUUCAACAAUGCAUUCCUCAAUGGAGAAAUUGCAGAGACUGUUUAUCUUUCCCAACCAGCUGGAUUUGUUAGCACAUCUCAUCCCCAACAUGUUUGUAAGCUAUAGAAAGCGUUAUAUGGUCUUAAACAGGCACCACGUGCCUGGUUCCACAAGCUCAGGGAAGCUCUUCAUACCUGGGGCUUCAUUUCCUCCACAUCAGAUACGUCCCUGUUCAUCUACAAGCACAAUGGCAAUUUUCUUUUGUUGCUGGUCUAUGUUGAUGAUCUACUUAUUACAGGCAAUAAUGCUCCACUUAUUCAAACUCUUAUUCAGGAUCUUCAGAAUAGGUUUGCACUAAAAGACCUGGGUCUUGUGAAAGACUUUCUUGGAUUUGCAGCUCUUCGCACAACAACUGGUCUUCAUCUUACACAGUCAAAAUACACGACUGAUCUCCUCAUUAAGACCAAAAUGCAUUCAGCUAAACCAGUUCCUACUCCCAUGAGUGCGGCCCUCAAACUUCAUGCAGCCUCGGGUCCUGCAUUUUCUGAUCCCACACUUUAUAGAAGCACCAUUGGUGCUCUCCAAUAUUUAACUUACACAAGACUGAACAUAGCGUUUGCUGUAAACAAACUCAGUCAAUACUUGCAGCAACCUACUGAGCUCCAUUGGACAGCAUGUAAAAGAGUAUUACGAUAUCUCAAGGGCACAGUUCAUCGUGGACUGCACUUCACUCCGGCUUCAUCUCUACAUCUUCAAGUAUACACCGACGCAGAUUGGGCAAGUUCAAUUGAUGAUCGUCGCUCUACAACUAGCUACUGUGUGUUUCUUGGCACCAAUCUUCUCACAUGGAGCUCCCGUAAACAGUCUGUGGUUGCAAGAUCCUCAACCGAAGCAGAGUAUCGCAUCCUCGCUCAUGCAUCAACUGAAGUAGCAUGGCUACGUUCUCUUUUUUUAGAACUUGGAAUUUCUCUUGUCAACACACCUGUCAUAUGGUGUGACAAUCAAGGUGCUGGUGCCUUAGCUGCUAAUCCGGUAUUUCAUUCCCGAACGAAGAAUAUUGAAGUAGAUGUCCAUUAUGUUCGUGAGCAGGUGCUAGAUCAAAAACUAGUGGUAUCUUAUGUUCCUUCUGUAGAACAAGUGGCUGACUUAUUCACUAAGCCCUUGUCUAUUCCCAGUUUCAAUAUCUGCUUACCAAGCUCAACCUUGUUGUUUCUCCAGGUUGUGCUUGAGGGGGGGUGUUAAGCUAACCAAAUUCAAUUAGGAAGUUAGCUAACCUGUAACUAUGGUCAGUUAGUAACUAAAGUCAGUUGGUAACCAAAGUUAAAUUCCAGAAGUUUUGAUAUAAAAACAAAUGUAAAUCAAUCAGAUGAGUUAGUGAAAAAGCAAGAAUACAUUUCAGUUCCAGAAUUUCCAAUACUCUGUUUUCUCUUCGUUAUACUCUAAUUUUUCUGCUACAGCCCUGUUCUCUUCAUUUUCUCUUCAACAAAACAAGUUCCACCCACUGUGAGUCAGAAAAGCACCCACGGCCGGGUGGGCUAGCACCUCUUCUUGAGGAGCCCAGCUCACAAGCAAACCCCUUUUCUUUGUUCCUUCCAAGAGUUCCGCCGGUGUCUGGCCUUCUCUAUCUUCUCUGGGGAGAGAGUCCGGCCUCAUUACCCACAAGAAGUGGCUGCCACUGUUAACCAAGCCGUACCAGAAUUCAGUGAGCUCAUCCUUUUUUAUGACCACGAGGCUUCCGAAGCUUACAUAGAUAACAGAUUUUAACGGUUGGCGGUCAAGCCACGCUAUGCAGGUUUUGUCUUCUUCCCAUAAACUGUUGGAAGAUUGUGACAUAGUCGUUUCAGAUGCAAGCCUGGAUUUCAGGUGUUCAUGAAGAGGUCCGAUGGCAUAGGCUUUGGGGCAGUGAUUGCGUAUUUGAGAGAGGACAGGUCCUUCUAGAUCUUCAAAGGUGUUAUGAGACCGUUGGUUCGUGCUGUUUGUGGAAGCUCUUUCAGGACCAAUUNNNNNNNNNNNNNNNNNNNNNNNNNNNNNNNNNNNNNNNNNNNNNNNNNNNNNNNNNNNNNNNNNNNNNNNNNNNNNNNNNNNNNNNNNNNNNNNNNNNNNNNNNNNNNNNNNNNNNNNNNNNNNNNNNNNNNNNNNNNNNNNNNNNNNNNNNNNNNNNNNNNNNNNNNNNNNNNNNNNNNNNNNNNNNNNNNNNNNNNNNNNNNNNNNNNNNNNNNNNNNNNNNNNNNNNNNNNNNNNNNNNNNNNNNNNNNNNNNNNNNNNNNNNNNNNNNNNNNNNNNNNNNNNNNNNNNNNNNNNNNNNNNNNNNNNNNNNNNNNNNNNNNNNNNNNNNNNNNNNNNNNNNNNNNNNNNNNNNNNNNNNNNNNNNNNNNNNNNNNNNNNNNNNNNNNNNNNNNNNNNNNNNNNNNNNNNNNNNNNNNNNNNNNNNNNNNNNNNNNNNNNNNNNNNNNNNNNNNNNNNNNNNNNNNNNNNNNNNNNNNNNNNNNNNNNNNNNNNNNNNNNNNNNNNNNNNNNNNNNNNNNNNNNNNNNNNNNNNNNNNNNNNNNNNNNNNNNNNNNNNNNNNNNNNNNNNNNNNNNNNNNNNNNNNNNNNNNNNNNNNNNNNNNNNNNNNNNNNNNNNNNNNNNNNNNNNNNNNNNNNNNNNNNNNNNNNNNNNNNNNNNNNNNNNNNNNNNNNNNNNNNNNNNNNNNNNNNNNNNNNNNNNNNNNNNNNNNNNNNNNNNNNNNNNNNNNNNNNNNNNNNNNNNNNNNNNNNNNNNNNNNNNNNNNNNNNNNNNNNNNNNNNNNNNNNNNNNNNNNNNNNNNNNNNNNNNNNNNNNNNNNNNNNNNNNNNNNNNNNNNNNNNNNNNNNNNNNNNNNNNNNNNNNNNNNNNNNNNNNNNNNNNNNNNNNNNNNNNNNNNNNNNNNNNNNNNNNNNNNNNNNNNNNNNNNNNNNNNNNNNNNNNNNNNNNNNNNNNNNNNNNNNNNNNNNNNNNNNNNNNNNNNNNNNNNNNNNNNNNNNNNNNNNNNNNNNNNNNNNNNNNNNNNNNNNNNNNNNNNNNNNNNNNNNNNNNNNNNNNNNNNNNNNNNNNNNNNNNNNNNNNNNNNNNNNNNNNNNNNNNNNNNNNNNNNNNNNNNNNNNNNNNNNNNNNNNNNNNNNNNNNNNNNNNNNNNNNNNNNNNNNNNNNNNNNNNNNNNNNNNNNNNNNNNNNNNNNNNNNNNNNNNNNNNNNNNNNNNNNNNNNNNNNNNNNNNNNNNNNNNNNNNNNNNNNNNNNNNNNNNNNNNNNNNNNNNNNNNNNNNNNNNNNNNNNNNNNNNNNNNNNNNNNNNNNNNNNNNNNNNNNNNNNNNNNNNNNNNNNNNNNNNNNNNNNNNNNNNNNNNNNNNNNNNNNNNNNNNNNNNNNNNNNNNNNNNNNNNNNNNNNNNNNNNNNNNNNNNNNNNNNNNNNNNNNNNNNNNNNNNNNNNNNNNNNNNNNNNNNNNNNNNNNNNNNNNNNNNNNNNNNNNNNNNNNNNNNNNNNNNNNNNNNNNNNNNNNNNNNNNNNNNNNNNNNNNNNNNNNNNNNNNNNNNNNNNNNNNNNNNNNNNNNNNNNNNNNNNNNNNNNNNNNNNNNNNNNNNNNNNNNNNNNNNNNNNNNNNNNNNNNNNNNNNNNNNNNNNNNNNNNNNNNNNNNNNNNNNNNNNNNNNNNNNNNNNNNNNNNNNNNNNNNNNNNNNNNNNNNNNNNNNNNNNNNNNNNNNNNNNNNNNNNNNNNNNNNNNNNNNNNNNNNNNNNNNNNNNNNNNNNNNNNNNNNNNNNNNNNNNNNNNNNNNNNNNNNNNNNNNNNNNNNNNNNNNNNNNNNNNNNNNNNNNNNNNNNNNNNNNNNNNNNNNNNNNNNNNNNNNNNNNNNNNNNNNNNNNNNNNNNNNNNNNNNNNNNNNNNNNNNNNNNNNNNNNNNNNNNNNNNNNNNNNNNNNNNNNNNNNNNNNNNNNNNNNNNNNNNNNNNNNNNNNNNNNNNNNNNNNNNNNNNNNNNNNNNNNNNNNNNNNNNNNNNNNNNNNNNNNNNNNNNNNNNNNNNNNNNNNNNNNNNNNNNNNNNNNNNNNNNNNNNNNNNNNNNNNNNNNNNNNNNNNNNNNNNNNNNNNNNNNNNNNNNNNNNNNNNNNNNNNNNNNNNNNNNNNNNNNNNNNNNNNNNNNNNNNNNNNNNNNNNNNNNNNNNNNNNNNNNNNNNNNNNNNNNNNNNNNNNNNNNNNNNNNNNNNNNNNNNNNNNNNNNNNNNNNNNNNNNNNNNNNNNNNNNNNNNNNNNNNNNNNNNNNNNNNNNNNNNNNNNNNNNNNNNNNNNNNNNNNNNNNNNNNNNNNNNNNNNNNNNNNNNNNNNNNNNNNNNNNNNNNNNNNNNNNNNNNNNNNNNNNNNNNNNNNNNNNNNNNNNNNNNNNNNNNNNNNNNNNNNNNNNNNNNNNNNNNNNNNNNNNNNNNNNNNNNNNNNNNNNNNNNNNNNNNNNNNNNNNNNNNNNNNNNNNNNNNNNNNNNNNNNNNNNNNNNNNNNNNNNNNNNNNNNNNNNNNNNNNNNNNNNNNNNNNNNNNNNNNNNNNGCCCAUCAGAUAUUGUUUCAAAACGGAAGCCGGGAUAGCGGGUGAAUCUGUCCAGAAUACUACUGGAGUAACAGAGAAGACGGUGGUAAUUAGAAUUGGAAUUAAGGAAGGUGACUUGGAGGCCUCCAAGGCAGAGAAGUUCGGUGAGUUUAAGGGGAAAAGGGAAGAUGAAGACAUGGGGAGAGUCCAUCCAUCUCGCUUUUGGUUCACAAUCUCAAGGGUGAUAUCCUUAUACUAACGAGAUUCCGAGUGCGUUUUUCCAACUAAGAAUUUCUUCAGAGACAGCCAUGCAUGUGCUUCACUAAAAUGCUUCACUUUCUUUUUCAGGCAGUAGCCUUUGGUAUGUGGUGCAUCCUUAUAUUCCACUUCUCCCAGGUGUUCUUUAAUCAACUAUGAUCCAUGAAAAUUUCUAGUUUGGCCGCUUUGAUGACUAACAAGCUUACAUAUUAAGUGAAUGUCAUAAUAUAUGCAAAUAAUUUGAAGAUUACUUUAGGGUAUAAGAAAUUAAAUAUAUAUAAUUUUUCCUUAGUAAUUUUAGAUUACAUGAGUAUAUAAAAUACUUUAGCAUAACUUCAAGCUUCUAAAUAAAACCACUUCUUCUUACGAGAAUUUACAAAAGAAAUUAUAUAUAAUUUUAGGCAAUGAUAAUGUGCAAAUGUAACUUGUUCAUAAAUUGAUCACUAUCUAUCUAUAUAAAUUUAAUGAAUUUUGAAUUUUUUUUUAUACUGAAUUUAAUUUAUGACUUUAAAAUAUAUGGAUGGAAUAAGGAAAUAUAUGUAUCAUUCCAUGAAUCCAUGAAUUUAAUAUUAUGCAUGAAAAAAAAUUAAUAUAUGGUAAAAUAUUUAGUUUUAUCAAAGGUAAACUUAAUGUUUUCAUUAAGAUCAUUUCAAUUUUUAACUUUGAGCUGCAAGCAGUUCCAGAGAGUAAUGGAGGACGCCACACAAGUUGCUUUGAGCUGCAAAGCCAAAUAUUCAAAAGUUGAUACUCUCCAUUGAAAUUUCCCAUGACAAAGCCGUAUUAGCGAAUGGACUAACAAUGGUAAGAAAUGCAAAUGUCUAUAGCAAUUAUUUUGUUUUAGGAGCUCGUGUCCCUUAAUUGUCUUUUCCAUGUAUGAUUCAAAUUCUCGUUGAUAUCCAAUUACUUCUGCUGAUAAGUUCAGCAAUAUUUUGCAAUCCUUCAAUAAACUGAAUAAAAACGUUUUAACAUAUAUUUACUAUGACAAAAGUUAUCUACGCCAUCUGAAAAGGUCAGCUGGAUUUAAUAAUUUUUCCUGUUGAACAAAAACGGAAAUUUUCAUGGAGAUCUGGCGCUCAACAAUCUUAUUUCCUCGAUCAAACUGCCCAAGUUACAGUAGGAGGAACCACCUUCGCUCACAGAUUUUUUAGCUGAGGUCGCCAUGGUAUCAGCUGCUUUCAUGAAUUCAGCCCUCUUCUCUUCCAUCAAAUCUCUCACCAUCUUCUCAACGGUGACUCUAUCGCAAGUGUCUUUCAUGUCCAUACCCAGCUUCCAAACAUGGCUCACGAACCUACUGUUGAUCUGCUGGUCAGCAAAGUAGGGCCAGCAUAUCAUUGGCAGGCCCGCGAUUAUACUCUCAAGUGUGGAGUUCCACCCACUGUGGGUCAGAAACCCACCCACAGCUGGGUGUUGCAGGACCUCUUCUUGUGGAGCCCAGCCGACUACAUAACCCCUAUCCUUUGUCCCUUCCAAGAGUUCCGCCGGAGUCUGACGCUCUUCAUCUUUCCCGACGAGAGCAUCUGGUCGUAUGACCCAGAGGAAGCGGCUACCGCUAUUGACCAAACCGUGCCAGAACUCUCGCAGCUCGUCCUUUGUAAUAAUAGCUAAACUACCGAAGCUUACGUAGAUUACAGAUUUCGGGGGCUGGCGGUCAAGCCACAGUAUACAGCUUUUGUCUUCUUCCCGGAAACUGUUGGAAGACUGGGACGUGGAAGUUUCAGAUGCGAGCUUGGAUUUGAGGUGUGCGUGGAGAGGUCCAACGGCGUAGGUUCUCGGAUAGUGAUCGCGUAUUUGAGAGAGAACCGGCCCUUCUAGAUCAUCAAACGUGUUGAUAACGAGCGCGUGGGCUCGCUGGGCCUGUCGAAAAAUUUUCAUUAGAUGUUGGAGACCUGGGUAAGCCACAUCAUUGACUCGGCCCGAACUUGGGAGGUCUCGACGUCGAAGAAAGCCUUCCAUGCCGGGCACACUGACUACUAGCCUAUCCAUAUCAUCACCUGGAAUUUAGUCACAAUCCAGCCAUUUUGUAACCAGAAAAAAUAAUAAUAAUAAUAAUGAUAAUAAAUAAAUAAAUAAAUAAAAAUUGGUAGCCAAUUUGUAAUCAGAAAAAUAAUAAUAAUAAUGAUAAUAAAUAAAAAUUGGUAGCCAAUUUGUAUUCAGAAAAAAAAUAAUAAUAAUAAUAAUGAUAAUAAAUAAAUAAAUAAAAAUUGCAGAAACCAAGAUGAAGGGCGUUUCUAAUGGAAUCCAAACCAGAAAGUGUACCUGUGAUAGGGACUUCGCCAGCUUCAAUGAGUUGGGGGAAAGAGAAAUAUGCCCAGAAGGAACAAGCACUGAUAGCACAGAAAAUAACGAUGGGAAGUCCGACUUCGUUAGCAACAUCAGUUGCAAAACUCAUGAGCUGAUCUGCCAUGAUGCAGGUCAGAGGCGGGCGAGUGUCGGAAGUACUGCGGCACCACGAAAUCAUCAUCUCCAUAAAGAGUGGUGCGGUUGUAGUUUUCACUCCAUCAACAAUAUCCAAGAAUUGUUCAGCGGUGCGAGGAUGCUCCAUCGGCAGCCCAUCGGAAAUUGUCUCAAACCGAAAGCCGGGAUAGCGUGAGAACCUGGCCUGAACAUUGGAGUAAGAGAGGAGGCAGUGGUGGGGGUAGUGGCAGUUUAGGAAGGUGACUUGGAUGCCGGCGAGGCAAAGAAGUUCGGCGAGCUUGAGCAUGGAGUUGACGUUGCCUUGGAGGGGGGAAGGGAGGAUGAGAACAUGAGGAGAGACCGACCGUUGAUCCAUUUGACUACCAACUAUGCACUUUGUGUGAUUUCCUGGUAGAUACAUGGUUUGUAAGCCAUAUAUCUUGAAGGAUAGGCACAUUGCCGACAACUCACUAAUGAAGCAAAUAAUCCCGUUGAAUAAGGAAACAAUCCCAUUGGAUUUUGGAUCUAUCAUAUAAAAAAGUUAAGAUGGUAUCAAAGGAAGUUGUCGGUGGACUGCAUCAAUAAUUCCUAUAAUUGCUCAGUUUAUAUCAAGUAACCAUAUGACAAAACCUCUCAUCAUGUAUGUGUAACACUCAUUUUUUUUUUACUUUAAGAAAAUAUACAGCCCAUUUCAUCAAAUUACUCAAACCAUUUGCACUCACCACUCAUUGAUAAGCCUCUCAUGAGGGAUGGACACGUUGCUACUCUUUGUCGUUUACCACCACCACUUUUUCAAGGGUCCACUAGUGGCCCCUUGAAACCCCUAAUACAGACUUGUAGAUGUAGAUUAAACUUAAUUAUUAUACCUGGUUUCAUUAGUUAAUGGAUUUCCCAAGCUUUAAAGAACACAUCUUAACUAAUUAAUUAACAUUAAUUUAAAAUAUAUGGGUCUGGUUCAUGGUUGUCACUUUUCACUUUAAGAUGACAAACAAAUUCAAUUACCAGCGAUUGAAACAUAAUAACCCAACAACAAGUUUUAAAACUCAAGGAUUUUGAAAGUGAAAAUUGGGAUCACUCAAGAAGGAGAGCAUCAUGUCGGUAACAAGAAGGAUCAUCAAGAAUCAAAUAAACCAACUCAUUUCUAGUUAGAGAAAAUCGACUAUUCCUUUAUUCCACUUAAAAUACACUUACAUAACAAAAUUAAAGGGGAAAUUUUGCAAAACAAAAACACAAGGGAGGACACAAGUCAUUACAUCACAUCCUUUAGAUUGCCUAUACAUGACCAAUCUAUCAAAAACAAUAAUAAGCCAUCAACAUAAUAGCAAAAUAUAAAAGAUUUGACCAGUGACUUAGCCAGAAAUUUCAAUGGCCUUGACCUUAGCCUUCUUCACCUCUUCUUUCGAAACCAUCACAAUUAGCACGCCAUUCUCCAUGCAAGCUUUGACCUCAUCUGUCUUGACAUUUUCUAGCAACCUGAAUCUGCGAAGAAACCUCCCGCUACUCAUUUCCACGCGAUGCCACUUGUCGUUCUUCUCCUCUUGCUCCUUACUCCUCUCUCCACUGAUUUGAAGCACUCUUCCCUCUUCAACCUCUACUUUCUCUUCCUCCUUCCUCAGCCCUGGAAGAUUCGCCUUGAAAAUGUGAGCUUCUGGCGUCUCUUUCCAGUCAAUACGUGUGUUAGCGAAGGCCGAGGUUUCACCAACAAUGCUGGGAAUGUUGGAAAGAGUGGUGCUAAAGGGAAAGCCUUCGAAAGGAUCCUAGAUAUCUAGGGAGAAGGGAUCGAAGAUGCUACUUCGUCGACCACCACCCAGAACCCUUGGAAUGAGCCACAUUUUUUAUGGAUGUUGUUGCAUUGAUAUGCUUUCCUGGACACAAGCUUCUAACAAUUUCUUGAUGAUGAAACUAACGGAGAGGGCCUUGCUAUAUAUUGGAUGUGAGAGAGAAUUGUGGUACUUUCUCAAUGUUUUUGAGAUAUUUCCUAUUUGGAUAGGAAUGAGACGUUUCUGCAAUCUUCUGGCAUCUUCUAGCGUCUAUCGGCCUUUUUUCCUUCUUGGGCUCAGUCCACAAUUCCAGGCCCAUUUCCAAAUGUCCAUACCGUCAUGAGCCUAAUGAGACCAUGGGGCCUUUAACAGCAAAAGGAAUUUAGGGCCAUCGGCUACUUUUAAGGAUUUAUUACUUGUUAGUAGAGAGUAUAUUAAAGCAUCCCAUGAGUGUGGGGACUGAUUUGACACGAACUAGCCGAGAACAUAUCCAAUCCAAAUUCUAUGAGGGUGAGUUAAAUCUAAUCCAAUUUGUAAUCUAAUUCAUUUUUUCAUAACUUUCAACAACUUAAUUUGCAAUUUGAAUUGUAUUUUGAUAUAAAAAAAUGUUAAUCCAAAUUAAAUUUUAUAUUUGUUUUGUACGAGGAAAAAAUUAUCAAAUUUUAUUUUAAUUUUAAUAAUAUGUUUUAUUAAAUAGGAUUUUUAUAUAAUUGUUGAUUUUAAUUAGGAAGUCUUUAUUUGAUUUUAAUAUGAGCGUGUAACAAGAUAAUAUAUUUUAGUAAUAAAUAUUAGAGUUAUACUACAAUGUGUGUUAUUUAAUGGAAAAGUUUGAGAAUCCUUUAAACUUCUUAUUUUAAAGCUUCUAAACAUAUAAAAGACAAAGAAAAUUUAGAACCCUAAAAAUCUAUUAUCUUUCUUCAAAAUUGUUAUCAUUUCUCCCAUGUAGUUUCACUCUAUCUCAAUCCUUCAUUUCAUUGAAUAAUUAAUUUAUCUUUUUUAUACAAAAGAUUGAUUAUAAACUUUUAAAUUUCUAUCUAAGAACAUACUUAAUAAAUUAUUUUUUCUGAUUAUGAUGAAUUGUUUAUUUAUUUGAAUGAUAAUUCUUCUAUAUGCUUGUUAAUUUGAUCAAACUGAUAUUUAAUAAUUUGAUUUUAAUCCAUUUUUAAAAGAAUAAGAUUAAAUUAGACCUGAGCAAAUGAACUUUAAGUAUAAGUUAAUCUCCAGUUGAUUGGUAUCUUAAUCUAAUAUUUACUCAAAUUAAACCCCAAAUUGUAUAGUAUUACUAACUUUGUUCUAAGUCGUUAAAAUGAAAUAUGUAAUCUAUUAAAUUUUCCUAGAAGUUGGUGUGAUUUGAUUUAGUUAGGUUUUUAACUGAUUAAGGAACCGAAUAGAAUUAGUCAAUUUUCAUUAAAUUAUUAUCAAUUUUUUUUACUGGCCCAAACUACUCAAUUUCACAUAUGUUUGAUUUGGUUUGGUUCAAUUCAUUGGCUUUGAGGCAAAAUCGAGCUUUACCUCUUUUUUUUUUUUUCUCUUUUUUUUUCUUUAUUUAUUUAUUUAUUUAUUUAUUUAUUUUCCCUUGGCCAGUCCUAGAUUCCCGUUCAUGGUGAAAGCCUUACGGACCCAUCAUGCUAUGCUGAGAAUAAAAAAGGUCCAUGGGCCAUAUAAUUGUGGAUUAAAUAGAGGUGGAUGGAGGAAGGUGGUAGAAGAUUGUAGAAAUUUCAGUCUCCUACCUACCCAAUCCAGAAUGGGGCAAAAGAAUGUCAGAAGAGUCCGGAUAACACCAGAAUCCUGUGUUACGUCCUAUACUUACCUAUCUCCUACACAUCAGUUUCAUCAUCAGAAGAUAAUCAUUAGAGCUUGCGUCCGAAAAUUUUCUAAUUGCAUCAGCCAAUCAAUUCAAAGAUGUCGCUCAUUUCAACUGUUCUUGGUAGUGACCGCCGAAGCAACAUCUUCGAUCCCUUUUCUCUGGACAUCUGGGAUCCCUUUGAAGGAUUUCCCUUCACCACCCCUCUCGCCAACGUCCCCCCCUCACUCGCGAGGCCUCUGCCUUUGCAAACCACACAUAUGAAUACAUUUGAAUGGAAUAAAUUAUAGUUUUAAUGUUAAAUGUAUUAUCAUUUAUCUCAUUAAUUCUAUGUUAAAAAACUACUAUCACCUUACUUUUAUUUUUUUAUAUUUAUCUUCUUAAUUUUAUUUAAUUUUGAAUAUUUUUAUUUUAAAAUAUUAAAAAUAUAAAUUUAUUCAAAAAUUAGUAAAAUAUAAAAAAAGUUAUUGAAGUUGUAAUAUUUUAUAUAUUAAAAUUAAUUUGAUAAGAUACAUUUUUAAUAAUUUUAAUUAUUUGAAUAAAUUAAGAACAAUAGCAAAAAGUUGUUAUUACAAAUUUAUCAUAAAAUUUUAGAAAUUAAAUUUCAAAUAAAAUAUGUUAUAUAAAUCUUUAAAAUGAUUUAAUUUUUAUUUAAAAUAAAUAAAAUAUGUUUCAAUAAAAGUAGUUUUUAAUUUUUAAAAUAAAUGAAUAUAAAUAUAUUAAAAAAAAUUAUCUUUUGAAUUAUGUGGCUCAUAUUGAGGGAAAAAAUAUAUGAAAAAUAUUUAUUAAUUUUUUUCCCUCAAUAUGAGCCACAUAAUUCAAAAGAUAAUAUUUGUUGAAAUUUGAGAAAUUACAAAAUAAAAUAAAAUAAAAUAGUUAAAGCUAAAAAGGAAUUAAAAAAAAAAAUUGUAUUAGUAAAAUUUUUUUAUAAAGGAAACAAACCACCCAAGAAGAGAGAGAGUCAAAUUCUUUUAAUUAAGCAAUCAAAUCUUAAAAUUUUUAAUUUAAUUUCUUUAACUUCACCUAAUGGUAACUUUUUCCUAUGAAAGAUGAGAAAUAUAGCUUCACUAGAGGGAAGACGUUUCAUAACAAGGAAAAAGAAUUCACACAGACUCUUCACCACCCUCAAAAUUCAACAAAAUUAUUUAGGAACAAAUUCACAUCAUCAUUCAUUAAAUUGCGAUAAGAAUUAUAAUGAAUAUGACACGUUGCAAUUAUUUUUUUGUUGUUGUGUUGCUUAUUUUUGUACCAUUUCUAAAAUCGUCUCUUUCGCUGAAAAGAAAUGAUCACAUGUUAAGGCGAUGACAUACGUAGAGACUUAAAGUUUGUUCAAUCUUAUAAUUUUAGGGUAACAAAAAGGGGAAAUUUUUCAUGGAAAUCAGGUGCUCAACAAUCUUAUAUCCUCGAUCAAACUGUUCAAGUUACAGGAUGAGGACCCACCGUCACCCACACAUUUUUUAGCUAAUGUGGCCAAGGUAUCAGCUGCCUUCAUGAAUUCAUCCCUCUUUUCUACCAUUAAAUCUCUCACCAUCUUCUCAACGGUAACUCUAUCGCAACUGUCUUUCAUGUCCAUUCCAAGCUUCCAAACAUGGCUCACGAACCUACUGUUGAUCUGCUGGUCAGCAAAGUAGGGCCAGCAUAUCAUUGGCAGGCCCUCCACUAUACUCUCAAGCGUGGAGUUCCACCCACCGUGGGUCAGAAACCCACCCACGGCUGGGUGUUUCAGAACCUCUUCUUGGGGAGCCCAGCCCACUACGUAACCCCUAUCUUUUGUCCCUUCCAAGAGUUCUGCCGGAGUCUGACGCUCUUCAUCUUUUCCGACAAGAGCAUCUGGUCGUAUGACCCAGAGGAAGCGGUUACCGCUAUUGACCAAACCGUGCCAGAACUCUCCCAGCUCGUCCUUUGUAAUAAUAGCUAAACUACCGAAGCUUACGUAGAUGACAGAUUUCGGAGGCUGGCGGUCAAGCCACGGUAUGCAGCUUUUGUCUUCUUUCCGGAAACUGUUGGAAGACUGGGACGUGGAAGUUUCAGAUGCGAGCUUGGAUUUGAGGUGUGCGUGGAGAGGUCCAAUGGCGUAGGUUCUCGGAUAGUGAUCGCGUAUUUGAGAGAGAACCGGCCCUUCUAGAUCAUCAAACGUAUUGAUAACGAGCGAGUGGGCUCGCUGGGCCUGUCGAAAAAUUUUCAUUAGAUGUUGGAGACCUGGGUAAGCCACGUCAUUGACUCGGCCCGAACUUGGGAGGUGUCGACGUCGAAGAAAGCCUUCCAUGCCAGGCACACUGGCUACCAGCCGAUCCAUAUCACCACCUGGAGAUUAGUCAUAAUCUAGCCAGUUUGUAAUUAACCAGGGGAAAAAAAAUAAGAGAAAGAAGGGAAAAAAGAAAAAGAAACGAAGAUAAAGAGCGUUUCUAAUGGAAUCCAAAUCAGAAAGUGAACCUCUGAAAGGGACUUCGCCAGCUUCAAUGAGUUGGGGUAAAGAGAAAUAUGCCCAGAAGGAACAAGCACUGAUAGGACGGAAAAUAAUGACGGGAAGUCCGACUUCGUUGGCAACAUCAAUUGCGAAACUCAUGAGCCCAUCUGCUAUGAUACAGGUCAGAGGCGAGCGCGUAUCAGAAGCACUCCGGCACCACGAAAUCAUCAUCUCCAUAAAGAGUGGUGCGGUUGUAGUUUUUACUCCAUCAACAAUAUCCAAGAAUUGUUCAGCGGUGCGAGGAUGCUCCAUCGGCAGCCCAUCGGAUAUUGUCUCAAACCGAAAGCCGGGAUAGCGUGAGAACCUGGCCUGAAUAUUGGAAUAAGAGAGGAGGCGGCGGUGGGGAUAGUGGCAGUUGAGGAAGGUGACUUGGAUGUCGGCAAGGCAAAGAAGUUCGGCGAGCUUGAGCAUGGAGUUGAUGUUGCCUUGGAUGGGGAAUGGGAAGAUGAGGACAUGAGGAGAGAUCGACCCUUGAUCCAUCUGACUUUUAGUUGACUAUGAUCUUUGUGUGAUUUCCUGGUGGAUACAUGGUUUGUAACUUGUAAUGCAUAUAUAAUGGAUAGGCACAUUGCUGGUCUUUGUUUCUUAAGGGCCACUCAUCAUUUAGCCAUAUAUGAUGAAGGAUGGGCACACAGCUACUCUUUGUUGUAUCCUAUUGUCACUCACUGGUGGCCCCCAGCAGAUUAUUAAUAUUGUAUCAGCUAAGUUUUCUUGGCACUCUAUGUCGAUAAAGUUUUAGCCUUCGCUUACCACCGCAAACCUAUCUCCAGUCAUAUCCAUAAUGAGAUCAACAUGUUAUCGAUAAGUCUUUAGGGUUGUUGUACCCACUGGGGGCACAUACCCGCGUUUGACCCAAUAAUAAAAUGAUACGGGUAAAUUAAUUAAAGAAUUUAUAAAAACUUAUCUUUGUACCCAUUCUUCAUUUUGGGUACUACUCACAUUUGAUCGCAAUAAUAAAAUGAUUGUGCAAAGUACAUGUCAUUAAAAAAUUUAUAAAAAUUUAUCAAAUCUUGUUGAUAAGAAAUAAUCACAUGCAUCCCAUAUAUAUCUAAACAUUACAACUUUUUUUUUAUAAUUUAUUAUUAAAUAUCAAAUAUAAUUUGUUAGUUAAUGAAUUACCUAACUCUAUCUUAAAAAAGAAAAUCUUACGAACUACCCUUAUACUCUCAUUAUUAAAAAAGAAAUACUAAUUUAAUAUGAAAAUUAAAUAAUUUCAAUCACCAUAUUACAAAAUAUGAAGAUGCAUUUUGAUAAAUUAAAAUUGAAGAUCAAGUUUGAAACUUUUUGAGGAAGAAAUUUUAAAAUUUGUAUUAUAUGAAGAGGAUGAAGGAUUUCAAGUGAUUACAAGUGUCAAAGGUAAUAUUUGAUAUUUUUUUAUUUAAAUAUAAAUUUUGUAGGUAGAAAUAUGAUGUUAAAUAACGAAUAUGUAAUGAUUUAUAAAAUUUAAAUUUUAGAAUUUUUUAUGAGUUUAUUAUUAAAUUUUGUUAUUAAUAUUAUAUAUAUAUAUAUAUAUAUAUAUAUAUAUAUAUAUAUAUAUAUAUAUAUAUAUAUAUAUAUUUUGUUUAUAAAUUAAAUUUGAAGAUGAAGUUUUAUAUCUUGAAGAAGACAUUAUAUGAAGGAUAUCAAGUGAUUACAAGUGUUAAAAGGUAACAUUUGAUAUAUUUUUUUUCAUUUAAAUAUAAUUAUUGUAGGUAGAAAUGACAUGUUAAAUGACAUUUAAAUAUGUAAUGAUUUAUAACAUUUAUAUUUUUGAAUUUUGUUAUGAGUUAUUAUUAAUCAAAUUGAGACCAUUUAGUCAUUUGUUAAGAAAUUGUCAUCAAUAUUUUUUAUAUUAUUAUUUUGUGUAUUUGUAGAUUAAAUUUGAAGACAAAGUUUUAUAUAUCUUUAAGAAGAAAAACAAUGUGAGAGGGGAUACGAAAAUUGUGAGAGGAGGUACGAACAAUGUGAGAUGGGGUAUGAACUUUGUGUGAUGAGGUACGAACUUUGUGAGAUGGUGUACAAACUUUGUGAGAGAUAGUACGAAUUUUGUAAGAGUGGGUAUGAACUUUUGUGAAAGAAAGUACGAAUUUUGUGAUAAGGGGUACAAACUUUGUGAGAAAUUGUACAAAUUUUGUGAUAAUAGGUACAAACUUUAUAAGAGAUGGUACAAACUUUGUGAAAAAUAGUACAACCUUUGUGAGAAAUUGUACAAAUUUUGUGAGAAGUGGUACAAACUUUGUGAAAGAGAGUAUGAACUUUGCGAGAGAUGGUACAAAACUUUGUGAUAGAGGGUAUGAACUUUGUGAGAUGUGGUACGAACUUUGUAAGAUGAGGUACGAACUUUGUAAGAUGAGGUACGAACUUUGUGAGAUAAGGUACUAACUUCGUGAGAGAAGUACGAACUUUGUGAGAAAUGGUACAAACUUUGUGAGAGGGGGUAUGAACUUUGUGAGAGAUUGUACGAAUUUUAUAAGAGAGUAUACAAACUUUGUGAGAUGGUCUAGAUUGAACCACCUUCAUCCAAUGGCCAAGAAUGUUUUUUCGAUAGGCACUGAAGUGGUACCGUAGAAUUUUGGUAAGUCUUAAAUUACUUUUUAUCUUUUUUCAAAAGUGCUUUCGUGGACAUGACAGCGCCACUUCCAAGUAUUUUUAAUUAAAAGGGUUUUGCACUUUUUUUUUUCAUAUAAGUAUAUUUUUCUUGCAAAACUAUAUAAUUAUUCUCAGAAUAAUUAUAUUUGUAAAUUUUUUUUCCUAUAAUUUCACCUAUGUGUAAUUUGGAUUAGAUAUCCAUUUUUGUUGCAGUGUCCUUCUAUGUUUUAAUUUCUUUAAUUUUUGGAUUUCCCAAUCUUUAGAAAAACCAUCUUAACUAAUUGUCUGUAGUUCUUAAUUAAGAAUGGUUUAUAGUUAUCACUUGCACUUUAAGAGGUAACAAAUUCAAUUGCCAGCCUAUGAAACAUAAUAACCUAGCAGCCACGUUUUAAAAUUUCCAGAUUUUGAAGGUGAAAAUGAGGAUCACUUAGGAAAGAAAGAAUCAUGUUGGUAACAUGAGGGAUCAUCAAGAACCAAAUAAGCCAACUCAUUUCUAGUUAGGGAAAAAUGAAAACCAACUAUUCCUUUAUUCCACUUCAAAUACACUUACAUAAAAAAAUCGAAGGGAAAAUUUUGCAUAACAAAAACACAUGGGAGAACAUAAAUCAUUACAUCACAUCCUUUGGAUUGCCUAUACAUGUAACAUGACCAAUCCAUUAGAACAAUAAACCAUCAACAGUAGAGCAAAUUAGAAAAAUCAGACUUGUGACUUAGCUUGAAAUUUCAAUGGCCUUGACCUCGACCUUCUUCACCUCUUUCUUCGGCACUGUCACAGUCAGAACGUCAUUUUCCAUGCUAGCUUUGACCUCAUCUAUCUUGGCAUUUUCUGGCAACCUGAAUCUGUGAAGGAACUUCCCACUGCUCCUCUUGACACAAUGCCACUUGUCGUUCUUCUUCUCCUAAUCCUUACUCCUCUCUCCACUGAUUUGAAGGACUCUUCUCUCUUCAACCUCUACUUUCACUUCCUCCUUCUUCACCCUUGGAAGAUCCGCCCUGAAAACAUGAGCUUCUGGCGUCUCUUUCCAGGCAAUUCGCGUGUUGGCAAAGCCGAGGUUUCGCUUACAGUGCUGGGAAUGUUGGAAAGAGAGAUGCUAAACGGAAAGCCUUCGAAAGGAUCCCAGAGGUCUAGGGAGAAAGGAUCGAAGAUGCUGCUCCAUCGGCCACCACCCCGAACACUUGGAAUGAGCGACAUUUUCUAUGGAUGUUGAAUUGAUUUGCUUCCUUAGACACAAGCUUGUAACAAUUUCUUGAUGAUCAAACUAAUGGAGAGGACUUGCUAUAUAUCAGAAGUGAUAGAGAACUGUGGCACUUUCUCUCGACGUUUCCGAGAUAUUUCUUGUUUGGAUAGGAACGAGACAUUUCUGCAAUUUUUUACCACCUUCCAUCAUCUAUCUAUACAUUUUCAACCAGGCCUUAAUCCACAAUCUCAAGUUCAUUUCCAAACAUCCUUACCGGAAGGAGCCCUAAUGGGACUACUAGGCUUUUCAGGCCCAUCAAUUACUUUUCGUCAAUCACACGCUUCUCAUGGGCUUACUUUUGUUCUUUUUUCCAAAUGGCUGCCCCUUUUUAUUGAUUAUUUUUUAGUUAAAGCAAUGGUGAAAUCAAAUGGACUUGCAUUUAAAAUCUUGUGCGAAAGAUACCUGAGUGCAAAUAUUAAUAAUUCUUUUAUUAUUAUUUGGGAAAAUUGGGAUAAAAUAUUAUAAAAUAAAAAUAUUUCAGAAAUAGGAAUAACUUUCUAGUUUUUGAAUUUAAAAGACUAAAAUAUAUAUUAUAAAAUCGAAAUGCCAUAUAAACAAAAAAAAUUAAUAUUAUAAAAAUAAAAUAUUAUAUAAAUUUGUAUUAUGGCAAUAUGUAUUAUAUUCCAAUAGUAUUUCAAAACAUAAUAAAUUUAAAGUAUUUUCUUAAAUUUAUAUUCCACUACUGUUGAUAAAGUUUUAGCAUUUGCUUACUACCGCAAACCUAUCUCCAGUCAUUUCCAUAUUGAGGUCAACAUGUUAUCACAAGUCUUAAGUUACUUUUUAUCUGUUUUCAAAAGUGCUUUCGUGGACACGACAACACACUUUUAGUUAGAGAAAACCAACUAUUCCUUUAUUCCACUUGAAAUACGCUUACGUAACAAAAUUAAAGGGGACAUUUUGCAAAACAAAAACACAUGGGAGAACAUAAAUCAUUACAUCACAUCCUUUGGAUUGCCUAUACAUGACCAAUCUAUAAAAACAAUAAUAAGACAUAACUGUAUAGCAAAUUAGAAAAGAUCAUACUAGUGACUUAGCCUGAGAUUUCGAUGGCCUUGACCUCAACCUUCUUCACCUCUUCCUUCGGCACCGUCACAGUCAAAACGUCAUUCUCCAUGCUAACUUUGACCUUAUUUGUCUUGGCAUUUUUUGGCAACUUGAAUCUGCGAAGGAACUUCCCACUGCUCCUCUCGACACGAUGUCACUUGUCGUUCUUCUCCUCCUGUUCCUUACUCCUCUCUCCACUGAUUUGAAGGACUCUUCCCUUUUCAACCUCUACUUUCACUUCCUCCUUUUUCACCCUUGGAAGAUCCGCCCUGAAAACAUGAGCUUCUAGCGUCUCUUUCUAGUCAAUUCGCGUGUUGGCGAAGGCCAAGGUUUCACCUACGGUGUUGGGAAUGUUGGAAAGAGAGGUGCUAAACGGAAGGCGUUCGAAAGGAUCCCAGAGGUCUAAGAAGAAAGGAUCGAAGAUACUACUUCGUCGGCCACCACCCAAAACACUUGGAAUGAGCAACAUUUUCUAUGGAUGUUGAAUUGAUUUGCUUUCUUGGACGCAAACUUGUAACAAUUUCUUAAUGAUCAAACUAAUGGAGAGGACCUGCUAUAUGUUGGACGUGAUAGAGAACUGUGGCACUUUCUCGACGUUUUCGAGAUAUUUCCUGUUUGGAUAGGAACGAGACGUUUCUGCAAUCUUCUACCACUUUCCAUCAUCUACCUAUACUUUUUCAACCUGGCCUUAAUCCACAAUCUCAGGUCCAUUUCCAAAUAUCCUUACUGGCACGAGCCCAAAUGGGACUACUGGGCUUUUCAGGCCCAUCGAUUACUUUCGUCAAUCACACGCUCCUCCUGGGCUUAUUUUUGUUCUUUUUUUUAAAUGUCUGUCCUUUUUUAUUGAUCAUUUUUUAGUUAAAGAAAUGGUGAAAUCAAAUGGACUUGCAUUUAAAAUCUUGUGCAGAAAGAUACCUGAGUGUAAAUAUUAAUAAUUCUUUUAUUAUUAUUUGGAAAUUUUGGGAUAAAAUAUUAUAAAAUAAAAAUAUUUCAAAAAUAGGAAUAACUGUAACGUCCAAGUUUUUUUUAGGGGUAGUUUAGGAAAUUAUUAAUAAUAAUUAAAUUAUUUAAUUAAUUAAUUUAAUAAAAUGGAAGGGAGGUGAAAAGGUAAUUUUACGAAUAAAUACCCUAGGUAUAAAUUAGAAUUAUGUUCUUCCUAUUUUUUUCUGAAUCGCGUUCUUGUUCGUAGAGAGUUCCUAAGAAUGUAAGAUUGGAGUCGGAUUUCAAGGUUUGAAGAACAGAUUUCUAUAAGUAAGAUUCUAACCCCUAGAUUAAUAUUUUAGAUUCAUUAAUUAAUUUCAAGCACUUUAGAUAUUUUUUGGAAAACCCAAAUCUAGAUUAGGGUUAGUUUAUCAUUGUUUUUUUUAAUUCAUUUUAAUAUCAAAAUAGUGAAAAUUUAAGAUUUUGAUUUAUUGUUGGAAUUUGGGAGAUCUUAAGUUUUUUUAGAUGAAAAAAAAAGUCUUGGGAAGAUUUCGAUUUAGACUAGGGUUAAUUUAUUUUAAAAAUAAUAAUAAUAAUAAAUAAAUAUAUUGUUAAUUGUGGCUUAAAGGAUUAGAAAAAUACAAUUUGAUUUAACAAAAAAAAGAAUGCAUAUGCACCGGAAAAUAGAAGGUUGGUGGGAGAAAAAAAAAACACAUGUGCACUGGUUGCAUGUGUGUGGAAACUGUGCAUCAACUUUUUUUUUUGUAAGGAUUUCAUGGUUGAAAUCUAGUUGGUGGAUUUUCACAAACUCUAUUAUUAGACUUUGAUGGAUACUUGGGUAUGUAAUAUUUAAUAGUAGCAAGACUUCGUAUUAUUAGACUUUGAUGGGUACUUGAGUAUUGAGUACUGUAUUAUUUAAUAAUGGUAGGGCUUUGUAUUAUUAGACUUUGAUGGAUACUGUAUUAUUUAAUAAAAGAAGAUAUGUACGGAUGGUAUUGGGGUGGUUAAUAUAUAUAUUAUUAUAUUAGUAAUGAUGGAGAGUUGUUGUGUAUAGGCUAUGUUUGAUGAAAAAAAAAAACUUGAAAGUGAGAAAAUAUAAUUUCUAAAUAAAAGAAAGUAAAGUUUUUGGUAUUAUAAUUAUAUUAAUGAUGGGUGUAAGUUAAUAAAUAGUAUAAAAUUUAAUUAGUGAAAUAAAUUAAAAUUUAAUUAAAUUAUGUUGUGUCCCAAGAAAUAAAUUGAAAAUAAAAUUUAAGUUUUAUAUGAAUUAGAAAUUUAUUAAAUUUUCUAAAAUAGGAAUAUAUUAAAUUAUCUUUCAUAAUUAAAAAAAAAACAUUAAUUUGAAUACCUAAAAUUUUAGGAUUGUCAAACCUAUAAUUUUAGAUAAAUAGUAAUGGUUAUUUCUCUUACAUUUUGUUAGGUGAAGAGUAGAUUUUCAAGAUUAUUUUUCUCCAAAGUUUUUGAGGACUUCUUUUGAGGUAAGGAAAUUAAUGCAAUUAUUAUUUUUUUUAGAAACAAUUUUUUAUAUACAUCUUUUGGAAAUAUUUUGAAUUAAUAUUUGUUUUAUGCAUGGAUCAAAUAUGUUUUGUAUGAAAAGUAUGUUAGAACUUUAUAUUUUGUUUACAACAGAGAAAUGUGGAGAUAUUAUGUUAUGCAAAUUCGAAUAAUUGAAAUAAGCGUUUGACUCUGGUUUGUUUGGUUUUUGUCAACGGGAUAUAAUAGUUGACUUAUGACUUUUUGGUCCUUGUCAACGGGAUAUAAUAGUUGACCUUUAUAUUUCUUGGUGAGGAAUGUAAUUGAUUUGAACCACGGUCUCUAAGGGUUUGGUUAGAGGUUACUAAUACUAGUAGUGUUUGAUUCUGUCUACCUGAAAGAAACAAUUUGAGACUAGCCACCUAUUUGAAAAGUCUCACAUAACUAGACACUAUUUGAUGUUUGAUGACUAGAGUAAAUAAAUGAUUUAAAUGUUAUGAUUGAAUUUGAUAUGAAAAUGUUUGAAUCAGAAAUGAAAGUGUACAAUUAAAAGUUUUGAAUGUAUUGACAAAGCUGACUCAAAAGUUUAUGUAAAUAAUUAAUUAUAAUAUCUCUUAUUUUGCAAGUAAACUUGAAAUAUUUGAUUCAUGGACUGCAUUAAUGUUCCUUAUUGAGCUUUGAGCUCAUUCUUAUUUGUUGAUUACUUUUCAGGCACCCUUAGUUCGGACGAGGAGUGAUGGCUAGAUCGGGGAAUGGUCAUCAUUAGGAUUUUGCUUAGGAUGUUAUUUGGACAUUAUUAGCUUAUGAGUUUAUAUUCCUUUGAAUUAUUUGGUUUUUGGAAGCUAUUUAGAUAUUGAGCUUUUAAAUAUUUUUUUUGAUAAGUUUGAAGUUGAGAUUUGGAGAUUAUGAAAAUUUGUUAGCACUUGAUUUAUUUGAGUUUGCAAUCUAUUUGGAUAAUGGAUUUUGGUUGAUGGAUGCUUAGUCUUAAAGUUAAGUGUGAAAAUUUUAGAAUUUUGUUCUGCUAUCAAGUUACACUUUAAGCCUUCGGGUUUGAGGUGUGAAAUGACUGUCACGCCCUUGGAGUGGGUCUUGGGGCGUGACAAUAACUUUCUAGUUUUUGAAUUUAAAAGACUAAAAUAUAUAUUAUAAAAUCGAAAUGCCAUAUAAACAAAAAAUUUAAUAUUACAAAAAUAAAAUAUUAUAUAAAUUUGUAUUCUAGCAAUAUGUAUUUAUAUUCCAAUAGUAUUUCAAAACAUAAUAAAUUUAAAGUAUUUUUUUAAGGUAAAAAAAGAACCUAACAUGUGCAAAAUGCUUUAACUCGUACAUGCUCUCAUUCGAUAAAUUUAAAUUUGAUCAUAUUUUUUCAAGUACACCCAUUGUUGGGAGGGAUAAUAUUAUUUCAUGAUGUUGAUUGAUAUCUAUAAUAGGGUUAGACUAGCAAUUUUUUAUGCUACUUCAUAACAAAAGCUUGAAGUUUUUGUUUCAAUAGUAUAUAAUAAAAUCUUUAUUCAAUUUUAAUGUUAGAAAAUAAGAAGAUAAGAUGUUCUAAUAAUAAAAGUUGUAGGACGUUGAAUGUCAAGAUAUUAUUGAGCUCUUGAAGAUUAAGGAGAGUUAUACCAUACAUUAUUUAAUGGCAAAGUUUUCAGGAUACUUAAAGCUUACUAUUUUAAGUUCUAAACAUAUCAAAGAGAAAUAAUUUUGAAAACCCUAAAAAUCUAGUAUCCUUCUUCAAAAUUAUCAUAAUUUCUCCCCAUAGUUUCACUCUCUAUCCCAACUUCUCAUUUUAGGUGUACUUUUGUAAUAUUUUGCAAAUGAUUGAUGGUAAACUUCUAAAUUUCUUUCGAAUGACAUAUUUUUUCUAAUUGUGAUGAGUUGUUUAUUUAUUUGAAUGAUAAAUUAUAAAUAUUGAUGUCUUCUAUAUAUUUGUUAAUUUGACCAUCCCAUUAAAACUCAAUAUAUAUUUACUAGUUCAAACUUAACCCAAUUUUAGAAAAAUAAGAUUGAAUUGGGGUUAAGCAAAUAAACUUUAAUUAUGAGUGCGUUGAUUGAUAACUCAAACUAUUCCAGUCAAAUUAAACCCUAAACUAUAUAGUAUUGCUAACUUUACUCUAAGUCUUCAAAAUGAAAUCUAUGAUCUAUUAAAUUUUUCAAGAAAUUGAUGGAAUUUGAUUUAGAUAAGUUUGUAACUAAGCGAGAAAUUAAAUAGAGUUAAUUGAUUUUCAUUAAAUUCGGAUCUUUUUUUUUUUUUUUAAAUUUAAUAAUUACAUAAUGGAAGUGACAAUUGCAAGCAAUAAUAUAAUAAAUAUUCUAAUUUUAGAAAAUUGGGAUAAGAAAUAAUAAAAUAAAAAUAUUUAAAAAAUAAGAGUAACUUUCUAGUUCUUAAAUUAAAAAAAAAACUAUAUUUUAUUUAAUAUAAGGAGACUUGCCACUAAAAAUUACAUUAUAAAACCAAAAUAUCACAUAAGCAAAAAAUUUAAUAGUAUAAAAAUCAAAUAUUAAAUAAAUAUAUAACUUAGUGUAACUAAUUUAACUCCUGAAAUUAUUUAUAAAUAUUUUUUAUGAAAUCCUAAAAUUUAUAAUCUUUCUUUUCAUCGGUCCACUCGAUAACUUCAAUCUUUUAAAAUAUUUUCUCAUAAUUUUCAACACCAAUUUAACUUUUAUAAGAACUUUGUUUUUUUUUACUUAAUAUUUUACAGUAAAAAUAGUAUUUAUGUGUUUUAUAUAUUUUUUUAAAGAUUUUAAUCAACAUAUUCUUGCAAAUAUUCUAUUGUAUUUUGGUUUCUUUCUAUUAAAUUCAUGUUGAAAGACUGAGCUCAAAACAUAUUGAAAUGCAAAAAGUAUGAAACCACGACUGCUAAUGUUGUAAAGAUGAAUAUGACUAAACUCAUUUAGAAUUUGGCUUUUUUUAAGCCCUCAUUUUAUUUGUACUAAGUUAAAUCAACUAAUGUCGUAUUCAUGGGAUCUUCUCUAGAGUGUAUAGAAGCUCUAGGAAGCAUGAUAUCAUGUCCUACUUUAGGUUACAUCAAACUUAGAGCAAAAAUCAAGAAAUCCAUACCAUUGAGGUCAUUCAAUACAAAACACGUAAGCUCCUAAAGAGAGGCCAACUUGUUCUGAUGUCUAAGAUAGGUAAUUUGAUUUUCAUCUGUUUAAAAUAUCAAUAAUUUGUAAAUAUCAAAUUGAAAAUAUAUAUAUAUAUAUUAAUUUAAUCAAAUUUUAAGUUUUAAAAAAUUCAAAAAUUUUGGGCUAAUUGUUUUACCCAUUUUUUUGGCCCAGGCCAAAAUUUCCAUCCAUAGUGUAAGGCAGGGUCAUAGACCCAUUAGGCUAAGCUUGACAAUAAAAAGGUGGUGGGCCAAUCUGUGGAUUAAAAUGGAGGUGGAUAAGGAAGUUGGUAGAAGAUUGUAGAAAUUCCAGUCUCCUACCCACCAAAUCCAGGAUGGGGCAAAAGAAUGUCAGAAGAGUCCGGAUAACACCAGAAUCCUGUGUUACGUCCUAUAUGUACCAAUCUCCUACACAUCAGUUUCAUCAUCAGAAGAUAAUCAUUAGAGCUUGCGUCUGAAAAUUUUCUAAUUGCAUCAGCCAAUCAAUUCAAAGAUGUCGCUCAUUUCAAGUGUUCUUGGUAGUGACCGCCGAAGCAACAUCUUCGAUCCCUUUUCUCUAGAAAUCUGGGAUCCCUUUGAAGGAUUUCCCUUCACCACCCCUCUCGCCAACGUCCCCCCCUCGACUCGCGAGACCUCUGCCUUCACCAACGCACGCAUUGACUGGAAAGAGACUCCUGAAGCUCACGUCUUCAAGGCUGAUCUUCCGGGGUUGAAGAAAGAGGAGGUGAAGGUUGAGGUUGAAGAGGGCAGAGUGCUGCAAAUUAGCGGAGAAAGGAGUAAAGAGCAAGAGGAAAAGAAAGACAAGUGGCAUCGGGUGGAGAGGAGCAGCGGCAAGUUCCUUCGUCGGUUCAGGUUGCCGGAGAAUGCAAAGAUGGAUGAAGCUGAAGCUAGCCUGGAGAAUGGUGUGCUAACCGUGACUGUCCCAAAAGAAGAGGUGAAGAAGGCUGAGGUGAAGGCCAUCGAGAUCUCAGGCUAAAGUCUUUGAAUUUCAUCUAUUGUCAUCUCAAUUGAUCUAGUUUUGGUGUUUUGAGCUGUCGGUGGGUUCAUGGGAUGUUUUAUUGCUGGUAUUUGUGUAUGCAAAUGUUCCUGCCAUAAAUGGAACCCUGAUUUAAAAUAACGAGCGUUAAAAGAAUACAAAAAUCAAACUCAGAAAGACAGAAGUUAAGAAAUUUAAAACGUAAAUCUAUAAAUAUAUUAAAGCCAUGGUUUGAAAUUUCGGAUACCAUCGAUGUGCUCCACCUGCUGGUCAACACGCUCAAACCCAAAAUUGCACGUCCAGAAGGAUGGAACUAAAUCUAACCAAUCACCCGGGUAACUCGGCUGUUGCAAAUAUGUAUAUGCAGAACAUUAAUAUAUUAAAGCCAACAUAAGACACAAAAUACUAAAAAAAAUAUUUUAAUAAAUAAAUUAAUUCUAAUUAUUAUUUUAUAUUAUUUAUAUAAUAAUUAAAUAUAAAAAUAAAAAUCUUACACAUAUGAAUAAAUUUUAAAUUAAAUAAAUUAUAGUUUUAAUGUUAAAUGUACUAUCAUUUAUUUCAUUUAAUUUUAUUUUAAAAAACUGCUAUCACCUCACUUUUAUUUUUUUUAUAUUUAUCUUCUUAAUUUUGUUUAAUUUUGAAUGUUUUUAUUUUAAAAUAUAAAAAUAUAAAUUUAUUCAAAAAAUUAGUCAAAUAUAAAAAAAGUUAUUGAAGUUGUAAUAUUUUAUAAAUUAAAAUUAAUUUGAUAAGAUAAAUUUCUAAUCAUUUUAAUUAUUUGAAUAAAUUAAGAUCGAUAGCAAAAAGUUGUUAUCACAAAUUUAUCAUAAAAUUUUAGAAAUUAAAUUUCAAAUAAAAUAUGUUAUAUAAAUCUUUAAAAUGAUUUAAUUUUUAUUUAAAAUGAAAUAAAAUAUGUUUUUGAUAAAAGUAGUUUUUAAUUUUUAAAAUAAAUGAAUAUAAAUAUAUUAAACGAAUUUAUGAUAAUUUUUUAUAAAAAAAUUUAAUAAAUAUUUUUUAUAUAUUUUUUCCCUCGAGCCACAUAAUUCAAAAGAUAUUUGAGAAAUUACAAAAUAAAAUAAAAUAAAAUAGUUAAAGCUAAAAAGGAAUUAAAAAAAAAAUGUAUUAGUAAAAAAAUUUUAUAAAGGAAACAAAUCACAAGUUGCAAAAAGAAAGAGUCAAAUUCUUUUAAUUAAACAAUCAAAUCUUAAAAAUUUUAAUUUAAUUUCUUUAGCUUCACCUAAUGGUAACUUUUUGCCAUGAAAGAUGAGAAAUAUAGCUUCACCAGAGGAAAGACGUUUCAUAAUCAAGCAAAAAGAAUUCACACAGGACUACACACAAAGUCUUCACCACCCUCAAAAUUCAACAAAAUUAUUGAUUAAAUUGCGAUAAGAAUUAUAAUGAAUAUGACACGUUGCUUAUUUUUGUACCAUUUCUAAAAUCGUGCCUUUGGCUGAAAAGAAGGCGAUGACAUCCGUAGACUUAAAGUUUGUUCAAUCUUAUAAUUUUAGGGUAACAAAAAGGGGAAAUUUUUCAUGGAAAUCAGGUGCUCAACAAUCUUAUAUCCUCGAUCAAACUGUUCAAGUUACAGGAUGAGGACCCACCGUCACCCACACAUUUUUUAGCUAAUGUGGCUAAGGUAUCAGCUGCCUCCAUGAAUUCAUCCCUCUUUUCUACCAUUAAAUCUCUCACCAUCUUCUCAACGGUAACUCUAUCGCAACUGUCUUUCAUGUCCAUUCCAAGCUUCCAAACAUGGCUCACGAACCUACUGUUGAUCUGCUGGUCAGCAAAGUAGGGCCAGCAUAUCAUUGGCAGGCCCUCCACUAUACUCUCAAGCGUGGAGUUCCACCCACCGUGGGUCAGAAACCCACCCACGGCUGGGUGUUUCAGAACCUCUUCUUGGGGAGCCCAGCCCACUACGUAACCCCUAUCUUUUGUCCCUUCCAAGAGUUCUGCCGGAGUCUGACGCUCUUCAUCUUUUCCGACAAGAGCAUCUGGUCGUAUGACCCAGAGGAAGCGGCUACCGCUGUUGACCAAACCGUGCCAGAACUCUCUCAGCUCCUCCUUUGUAAUAAUUGCAAGACUACCAAAGCUUACGUAGAUAACAGAUUUUGAGGGCUGGCGGUCAAGCCACGGUAUGCAGCUUCUGUCUUCUUCCCAGAAACUGUUGGAAGACUGGGACGUGGAAGUUUCAGUUGCGAGCUUGGAUUUGAGGAGUGCGUGGAGAGGUCCAAUGGUGUAGGUUCUCGGAAAGUGAUUGCGUAUUUGAGAGAGGAUCGGCCCUUCUAGGUCAUCAAACGUGUUGAUAACUUGCGCGUGGGCUCCAUGGGUUUUUCGAAUAUUUUUCAUGGGAUUUUGGAGAUCUGGGUUAUCCACGUCUUUGACGCGGCAGCAACUUGGGAGGUCUCGACGUCGAAGAAAGCCUUCCAUGCCAGGCACACUGGCUACCAGCCGAUCCAUAUCACCACCUGGAGAUUAGUCAUAAUCUAGCCAGUUUGUAAUUAACCAGGGGAAAAAAAUAAGAGAAAGAAGGGAAAAAAGAAAAAGAAACGAAGAUAAAGAGCGUUUCUAAUGGAAUCCAAAUCAGAAAGUGAACCUCUGAAAGGGACUUCGCCAGCUUCGAUGAGUUGGGGUAAAGAGAAAUAUGCCCAGAAGGAACAAGCACUGAUAGCACGGAAAAUAAUGACGGGAAGUCCGACUUCGUUGGCAACAUCAAUUGAGAAACUCAUGAGCCCAUCUGCUAUGAUACAGGUCAGAGGCGAGCGCGUAUCAGAAGCACUCCGGCACCAUGAAAUCAUCAUCUCCAUAAAGAGUGGUGCGGUUGUAGUUUUGACUCCAUCAACAAUAUCCAAGAAUUGUUCAGCCGUGCGAGGAUGCUCCAUCGGCAGCCCAUCGGAUAUUGUCUCAAACCGAAAGCCGGGAUAGCGUGAGAACCUGGCCUGAAUAUUGGAAUAAGAGAGGAGGCGGCGGUGGGGGUAGUGGCAGUUGAGGAAGGUGACUUGGAUGCCGGCAAGGCAAAGAAGUUCGGUGAGCUUGAGCAUGGAGUUGACAUUGCCUUGGAUGGGGAAAGGGAAGAUGAGGACAUGAGGAGAGACCGACCCUUGAUCCAUCUGACUUUUAGUUGACUAUGAUCUUUGUGUGAUUUCCUGGUGGUUGCAUGGUUUGUAACUUGUAAUGCAUAUAUAGAAUGAUGGAUAGGCACUUAGGCACAUUGCUGGUCUUUGUCGUUUCCUACCAACUACUUUCUCAAGGGUCAUUCAUCAUUUAGCCAUAUAUGACGAAGGAUGGGUACACUGCUACUCUUUGUUGCAUCCUAUUGUCACUUUCUCAAGGGUCCACUGGUGGCCCCCAGCAGAUUAUUAAUAUUGUAUCAGCUAAGUUUUCUUGGCACGCUAUGUUGAUAAGUUUUAGCCUUCGCUUACGACCGCAAACCUCGCUUACGACCGCAAACCUACCUCCAGUCAUAUCCAUAUUGAGAUCAACAUGUUAUCAAUAAGUCUUAGGGUUGUUGUACCCACUGGGGGUACCUACCCACGUUUGACCCAAUAAUAAAAUGAUACGGGUAAAUUACAUGUCAUUAAAGAAAUUAUAAAAACUUAUCUUUGUACCCAUUCUUCAGUUUGGAUACUUUCCACAUUUGAUUGCAAUAAUAAAAUGGCAUGUGUAAAAUACAUAUCAUUAAAAAAUUUAUAAAAAUUUAUCAAACGGCUAAAGAGGACUAUUUGAUGAAAAAUAAUCACAUGCAUUCUAUAUAUAUAUAUCUAAAUAUUACAAUUUUUUAUAAUUUAUUAUUAAAUAUCAAAUAUAAUUUGUUAUUUAAUGAAUUACCUAACUCUAUCUAAAAAAAAUCCUAUCAACUACCCUUAUACUCUCAUUAUUCAUAUAUACAAAAAGGAAUACUAAUUUAAUACGAAAAUUAAAUAAUUUCAACUACCAUAUUACAAAUUAUGUAAGAUGCAUUUUGAUAAAUCAAAUUUGAAGAUCAAGUUUGAAACAUUUUAAGGAAGAGAUUUUAAAAUUUGUAUUAUAUGAAGAGGAUGAAGGAUUUCAAGUGAUUACAAGUGUCAAAAAUAAUAUUUGAUAUAUUUUUAUUUAAAUAUAAAUUUUGUAGGUAGAAAUAUGAUGUUAAAUAACGAAUAUGUAAUGAUUUAUAAAAUUUAAAUUUUAGAAUUUUUUAUGAGUUUAUUAUUAAAUUUUGUUAUCAAAUUAUUAUUAAUAUUUUUAUAUCUUUUUUUUUCUUUCCCUAGACUAAAUUUGAAGAUGAAGUUUUAUAUCUUGAAGAAGACAUUAUAUGAAGGAUAUUAAGUGAUUACAAGUGUUAAAAGCAAUGUUUUCAGAAUCAGACCAGUCAUUGAACCGAAAAAGUACCGGUUCACGGUUCACUGGUCGAAUCGAUGGUCGAACCAGUGACGUCAUAAAUAUGUAAUUUAUAUAUUAUUAAAAUUAAAAAUAAUUAUAAGAAUUUUAAAAUAUAUAUGAAUAUAUCAAAUUAAAUCAUAUUAAUAUUUUAAAUUUUAUUAAAUGAAAUGUGUAUAAUAUUUAAAUGUGAAUAUAUUAAAAAUGAAAAUUUUAACUAAUUUUAUAAUUUUUAAAAUAUUAUAUUAUUUUAUUUAAUAUUAUAAAAAAAUUUUAAAUCCAAUAUAUAUUAUUUUGUUUGGCAAAUCAAAUAUCAAAUCGCUUGUAGCGAGUGGUGUCAAGUUUACUUACAAACCUGAGGUCCUAGUUUCAAAUCCUCUUGGUUGAAAUUGUUAGCUUUUUUUCAUUAAUAUUAGUUUGCAAUCCCACAUCGAAAUUUGAGAGAAAUAAGGGUGCAAAGGAUGCCUAUAAAAGGUAUCCUCGUUGAAAGCCACAACACCAUCCCAUCUUGUGGGCUCAAAGAUUCAGCCCACUUAAAAUGAUUGGGUGGGUAUGGGCAUUGUCACUAAGACAUGGCCCAAUAUGCUUGCAAAAUAAUGGGCUAAUUUGAAUCGUUUGGUUCAUUUAGAACCAUUCGGUUCCAUCGGUUCACCGGUCGAGAAUGGGUAUGAACUUUGUGAGAGAGAGUACAAACUUUGUGAGAAGGAGUACGAACUUUGUGAGAAAGAGUAUAAACUUUUUGAGAAAGAGUACGAACUUUGUGAGAGAUAUUACGAACUUUGUGAGAGAUUGUAUGAAUUUUGUUAGAUGAAGUACGGACUUUGUGAGAGAUUGUAUUAAUUUUAUGAGAGAGUGUAUGGACUUUGUGAGAUGGGGUACAAACUUUGUGAGAGGGUUCGGAUUGAACCACCUUCAUCCAAUGGCCAAGAAUGUUUUUUCGGUAGGUACUGAAGUGGUACCGUAGAAUUUUGGUAAGUCUUAAAUUACUUUUUAUCUUUUUUCAAGUGCUUUCGUGGACAUGACAACCACUUCCAAGUAUUUUUAAUUAAAAGGGUUUUUGCGUUUUUUUUCAUAUAAGUAUAUUUUCUGGUGAAACUAUAUAAUUAUUCUCAGAAUAAUUAUAAUUGUAAAUUUUUUUCCCAUAAUUUCACCUAUGUGUAAUUUGGAUUAGAUAUCCAUUUUUGUUGCAGUGUCCUUCCAUGUUUUAAUUUCUUUAAUUUUUGGAUUUCCCAAUCUUUAGAAAAAGCCAUCUUAACUAAUUGUCUGCAGUUCUUAAUUAAGAAUGGUUUAUAGUUAUCACUUGCACUUUAAGAGGUAACAAAUUCAAUUGCUAGCCUGUGAAACAUAAUAACCCAGCAACCAUGUUUUAAAAUUUCCAAAUUCUAAAGGUGAAAAUGGGGAUCACUCAGGAAAGAAAGAAUCAUGUUGAUAACAAGAGGGAUCAUCAAGAACCAAAUAAGCUAACUCAUUUCUAGUUAGGGAAAAGUGAAAACCAACUAUUCCUUUAUUCCACUUGAAAUACACUUACAUAACAAAAUUAAAGGAGAAAUUUUGCAAAACAAAAACACAUGGGAGAACAUAAAUCAUUACAUCACACUUUUAGAUUGCCUAUACAUGUAACAUGACCAAUCCAUCAGAACAAUAAACCAUCAACAGUAGAGCAAAUUAAAAAAGAUCAGACCUAUGACUUAGCCUGAAAUUUUGAUGGUCUGGACCUCGGCCUUCUUCACCUCUUCCUUCGGCACCGUCACAGUUAGCACGCCACUCUCCAUGCUAGCUUUGACCUCAUUUGUCUUGGCAUUUUCUAGCAACCUGAAUCUGCGAAGGAAUUUCCCACUUCUUCUCUCGAUGCGAUGUCACUUGUCGUUCUUCUCCUCCUGAUCCUUACUCCUCUCUCCACUGAUUUGAAAUACUCUUCCCUCUUCAACCUCUACUUUCACUUCCUCCUUCUUCACCCCUGGAAGAUCCACCCUGAAAACAUGAGCUUCUGGAGUCUCUUUCCAGUCAAUUCGCGUGUUGGCGAAGGCCGAGGUUUCGCCUAUAGUGCUGGGAAUGUUGGAAAGAGAGGUGCUAAACGGAAAGCCUUCGAAAUGAUCCUAGAGGUCUAGGGAAAAGGGAUCAAAUAUGCUACUCCGUCGACCACCACCCUGAACACUUGGAAUAAACGAAAUUUUCUAUGGAUGUUGAAUUGAUUUGCUUUCUUGGACGCAAGCUUGUAACGAUUUCUUGAUGAUGAAACUAAUAGAGAGGAUUUGCUAUAUAUUGGACGUGAUAGAGAACUGUGGCACUUUCCUGUUUGGAUAGGAACGAGACAUUUCUGCAAUCUUCUACCACCUUCCAUCAUCUACCUAUACUUUUUUCAACCAGGCCUUAAUCCACAAUCUAAGGUCCAUUUCCAAACAUCCUUACCGACACGAGCCCUAAUGGGACUACUGGGCUUUUCAGACCCAUCGAUUACUUUUCGUCAAUCACACGCUCGGCUUACUUUUGUUCUUUUUUUCAAAUGUCUGCCACUUUUUAUUGAUUAUUUUUUUAGUUGAAGAAAUGGUGAAAUCAAAUGGACUUGCAUUUAAAAUCUUGUGCGAAAGAUACUUGAGUGCAAAUAUUAAUAAUUCUUUUAUUAUUAUUUGGGAAAAUUGGGAUAAAAUAUUAUAAAAUAAAAAUAUUUCAAAAAUAGGAAUAACUUUCUAGUUUUUAAAUCUAAAAGACUAAAAUAUAUAUUAUAAAAUCAAAAUGCCAUAUAAACAAAAAAUUUAAUAUUAUAAAAAUAAAAUAUUAUAUAAAUUUGUAUUAUAGCUAUUUUAUUUGUAUUUCAAUAGUAUUUCAAGACAUAAUAAAUUUAAAGUAUUUUCUUAAGGUAAAGAAAGAACCUAGUAUGUGCGAAGCGCUUUAACUCGUACAUACUCUCAUUCGAUAAAAUUAGAUUUGAUCAUAUUUUUCUAAGUACACCCAUUAUUGGGAGGGAUAAUAUUAUUUGAGGAAGUUGAUUGAUAUCUCUAAUAGGAUUAGACUAACAAUUUUGUAUGCUACUUCAUAACAAAACCUUAAAGUUUUUGUUUCAAUAGUAUAUAAUAAAAUCUUUAUUCAAUUUUAAUGUGAGAAAAUAAGAAGAUAAGAUGUUCUAAUAAUAAAAGUUGUAGGACAUUAAAUGUCAAGAUAUUAUUGACCUCUUGAAGAUUAAGAAGAGUUAUACCGUACAUUAUUUAAUGACAAAGUUUAAGGAUACUUAAAGCUUACUAUUUUAAGCUUCUAAACAUAUCAAAGAGAAAUAAUUUCGAGAACCCUAAAAAUCUAUUACCCUACAAGUCUCACUCUUUAUCUCAACUUCUCAUUUUAGGUGUACUUUUGUAAUAUUGUGCAAAUGCUUGAUGGUAAACUUCUAAAUUUCUUUCCAAUGACAUAUUAGAUAAGUUAUUUUUUCUAAUUGUGAUGAGUUGUUUAUUCAUUUGAAUGAUAAAUUAUAAAUACAGAUGUCUUCUAUAUAUUUGUUAAUUUGACCAACCCGUUAAAACUCAAUAUAUAUUUACUAACUCAAACUUAACCCAAUUUUAGAAAAAUAAGAUUGAAUUGGGGUUAAACAAAUAAACUUUAAUUAUGAGUGAGUUGAUUGAUAACUCAAACUAAUCCAGUCAAAUUAAACCCUAAAUAAUAUAAUAUUACUAACUUUAUUCUAAGUCUUCAAAAUGAAAUCUAUGAUCUAUUAAAUUUUUCGAGAAAUUGGUGGAACUUGAUUUAGUUAAGUUUGUAACUAAGCAAGAAAUUAAAUAGAGUUAAUUGAUUUUCAUUAAAUUUGGAUCUUUUUUUUUUUUUUUUUGAUUGGCUUAAACAACUCAAUUUCACAUGUAUAUUAUUUGGUUUGGUUCAAUUCAUUGGCUUUGAGACAAAAUUGAGCUUUUAUAUUUUCUUUCCACAUUUGGCAUUAAAGUGAUCAAUAUUACCAUAUUAUGCCCAAGAAUAAUAAUAUUAUGUUAUAAUUCUAAUUAUAUCAAUAUAAGGUAACACCUUAAAAAGAUGUGAAGGGUGAUGAUCAUUUUUUAUAAAUUUAAUAAUUAUAUAAUGGAAGUGACAAUUGCAAGUAAUAAUAUAAUAAAUAUUAUUAUUUGAGAAAAUUGGGAUAAGAAAUAAUAAAAUUAAAAUAUUUCAAAAAUAAGAGUAGCUUUCUAGUUCUUAAAUUAAAAAAAAAAAAAACUAUACCUUAUUUAAUAUAAGAAGACUUGUCACUAAAAAUUACAUUAUAAAAUCAAAAUAUCACAUAAGCAAAAAAUUUAAUACUAUAAAAAUAAAAUAUUAUAUAAAUAUAUAACUUAGUGUAACUAAUUUAACUCUUGAAAUUAUUUAUAAAUAUUUUUUAUGAAAUCCUAAAAUUUAUAAUCUUUCUUUUCAUCGGUCCACCCAACAACUUCAAUCUUUUAAAAUAUUUUCUCAUAAUUUUCAAUACCAAUUUAACUUUUAUAAGAACUUUGUUUUUUUUUUUUUUACUUGAUAUUUUACAUUAAAAUUAGUAUUUUAUGUGUUUUAAAUUUUUUUAGAUUUUAAUCAAUAUAUUCUUGCCAUUAUUCUAUUGUAUUUUGGUUUCUUUCUAUUAAAUUCAUGUUGAAAGACUGAGCUCAAAAUAUAUUGAAAUGCAAAAAGUGUGAAACCACAACAGCUAAUAUUGUAAAGAUGAAUAUGACUAAACCCAUUUAGAAUUUGGCUUUUUUUAAGCCCUCAUUUUAUUUGUACUAAGUUAAAUCAACUAAUGUUGUAUUGAUGGGAUUUCCUCUAGAGUGUAUAGAAGCUCUAGGAAGCAUGAUACCAUGUCCUGCUUUAGGUUACAUCAAACUUAGAGCAAAAAUCAAGAAAUCCAUACCAUUGAGGUCAUUCAAUACUAAACACAUAAGCUCCUAAAGAGAGGCCAACUUGUUAUGAUGUCUAAAAUAGGUAAUUCGAUUUUCAUCCGUUUAAAAUAUCAACAAUUUGUAAAUAUCAAAUUGAAAUUUCUUUCCAUCAAUAUAAGCCACAUACUACAACAUAUUCAAAAUAUAAUAUGCAUGGUAAUUUGAAAAAUUACAAAAUAAAACUAAAUUAAAUAGUUAAAGCUAAAAGGGAAUUAAAAAAAAAUUCUUGUAUUAGUAACAAAUUUUUAUAAAGGAAACAAAUCACAAGUUGCAAAAAGAAAGAGUCAAAUUCUUUUAAUUAAGCAAUCAAAUCUUAAAAUUUUUAAUUUAAUUUUUUAAACUUCACCUAACGGUAACUUUUUGCCAUGAAAGAUGAGAAAUAUAGCUUCACCAGGGGAAAGACGUUUUGAUAACAAGGAAAAAGAAUUCACACAGACUCUUCACCACCCUCAAAAUUCAACAAAAUUAUUUAGGAACAAACUCACAUCAUCAUCAUUCAUUAAAUUGCGAUAAGAAUUAUAAUAAAUAUGACACGUUACAAUUUUUUUGUUGUUGUGUUGCUUAUUUUUGUACCAUUUCUAUAAUCGUCUCUUUCGCUGAAAAGAAAUGAUCACACUGUUAAGGCGAGGACUUUUCACAAUAGUACGGUAAUUUUAAAAAAUUAUUCUUAAAUUAUUGUAGUAUAAGAAGUUAUUCUAAAUAUAUGUUAGUUUUUGCUACGUAAGAGAGAGGUGAACAAAUAAAUUUUUUUUAACCAAAAUCGUCUUUUAAAAAGACGAUUUUAUUUCCAUUUAAAAAAAAAUUCAAAAGGGAAAUUGUCUCUUGAAGAGACGAUUUCCCUUUAAUUUUUUUUUAAAUUAAUAUUAUAAAAAAAAUUUUAAACUCCCAAAUUAAAAGAAAAAAUUAAUAUUACAAAAAAAUUGGAAACUAAUUUAAAAAAAAAUUCAAAGGGAAAUUGUCUCUUGAAGAGAUGAUUUCCCUUUUAAAAAAAUUUUUAAAAUUAAUAUUAUAAAAAAUAAUAUUUUUUUUUUAAGAAAAUCCCAAAUUAAAAGAAAAAAUGAAUAUUACAAAAAAAAUUGGGAACUAAUUUUAAAAAAAAUAAUUUUUAAAUUAAUAUUAUAAACAAUAAUUUUUUUUAAAAAAAAUCCCAAAUUAAAAGAAAAAAAUUAAUAUUACAAAAAAAUUGGAAAAUAAAUUCAUUAUUUUGAAUAAUUUUUUUAAACGAUUUAUAAUGAAAUUAUUAUUAAAUAAUGUGAGUUAUAUUUCAAAUUUAAUUGCAGAUUAUAUGGGAGUCAUAUACUGAUGAUGUCAUCUCUGCACUCCUAAAUUACUGUACUAUUGCUUCUGACUUGUGGUUGACUAUUUCACCCCUUAUUUGGUUCCUCAUAAUGGAGUGGCAUAGACCUCAUCGUGUUUUGAGGCAAUUUGGGCUAGUACAACAUAUUCCCGAGCAAUGCGAUACAGAAUUGGGCUUACAUAGAUAUGAUUUGAGGGAUCGACAUGAUUUUGAUUGGAUGAGUAUUCAUCACCACUAUAUUCAAAGGUAGGAGGCUAGGUACGAUUAUCUUGCUAGAGUUGAGGCAGCAUAUACUUCGUACGAGUAUAACCACCCAUUUAUGGUGUGGCAUCGUUCGAUCACUUGCCUUUUUCUGAUUCCACAUGGAUCUUCAUGGGAGAUAGUGGUAAUUACAAUGUCUUUUUAUUUAUUACUAUUUUUUUUCCUUAUUACAAAAACAUCUAACUUUUUAUUCUUAAUUCUUACAGAACCGUAGUUUUCAACAAAUACAUUUAUGGACUGCUCCAAAUACACCAAAUAUCGGUCAUCGUGAUGCAAUUCAUCAAUUAUGUGCAACCACUUUAGAGGUUAUACACGAGGCUGAUCGGUUAGUUAUUCCCCCUAAUGUCGUUGAUACGGAAAGACAAUCAUCGGAUGAGGAGGUUAGGAUAAGAUAUGGUGGGGUGCGGACUAAGGGUGGUGGGGUCCGGAGUAGAGGUGGUGGAGUACGGACUAGAUGUUCAGAGAUCCACGAGGCCGAUGAGUUUCUUAUUCCCCCUAAUGUCGUUGAUGCGGAGAGACAAUCAUCAAAUGAGGAGGUUGGGAUGACAGAUAUUGGGGUACGGACCAAAGGUCGUGGGGUGCGGACUAGAGGUCGUGGGGUACAUCCUACAGGUAGUGGUGUACAUACUAGAAGUGAAGGUGUUCGCACUAGAGGUGGAGGUGUACGAACACAUGGAGGCCAUAUUUAUGAUGAUCUACACUUCCAUAGCGAUGAUGCAUCUGUACAUUUUCCACCAUCAACUCUACAACAUUCUUCCUUCAAUUUUUCUACACCACUUGACCAGUCACUGCCUUAUUCAUCAGCUCCAUCCAUUGCUGAGGGAGUGAUAUAGGAAGAUGUUGGGACAUCAUUCAUGCAGGAAAUAUUGCAUUCUUAUAUUGAUGGACUUUCUUUUCAUAUACCUAUGUUGUCUAGUAUUGAUGUAUCAUUUACUCCACCUACAGCACCACUCAUUGCUUUGUCACCACAAUCAUUAGGACAUCCAUUUAGAGAUGAUGUGGCGACACAAAUGCAAUACUUUCCGUCACCACUUGUUGAACAACAGCGAGAAGCACAGGUGUAAGAUGAAGGACAUGGACGAAGAAAAGGUCGAGGACGAGGACAAAGACGAGAAAAUGGAGCAACAUUAGAUGGUCCCUCAGAUCAAUCCGAGUUGGAAAGAUGUCACCAACGGCCACAACGAAGAAGGAAGCCUCCUUCAUGUGGCACACAUUGAUGACUUUUAUAUCUUUUAUCGAACAUAAAUUGAUGAUACAUGUUUUUUUGUUGCUUCUUCAUUUAUUUGUAUUGAUGAUGCAUACUAACUUUUAUUGGUUGUUAGUUUAUUAAUGACGUAUGUUAAUUUAUCAUCUACUACUAUUGAAGUUGUCAUAUAGUAAUAUUGAAUUUUAAUAUUUUAGUUUUGCUGGUAUUCAUGGUUGAUAUUUUGUUAGUUGUUACAAUAUUUGUUGAGUUAUUAGUUUAUAUAUAUGAACUACAUAUUAGUUUUUUUUAUUCAUAAUAGUAGUUGUUUUUUUAUCAUUGAUUAUUUGAAUACGUUUGAUUGUUUAGGGAUUGAACAUAUUAAUACAAGUUAUGAGUUGAUAUAUGUAUAUAUUUUCUUUGUUCAUGGUUCAUAUGAAUAAGGUUAUUAGUUUUUUUGCAUUCACGAUAAUAAUUGCAUUUCUAUCAUGGUUGAUAUUAUAUUAUUUAUUGGGCUAUUUGUUGAUUUUUUAACAUUUACAUAAAUAAUGUUAUUGGUUUUUUAUAAAAUAUUAUUUUAUUUUAAUUUAUUUUUUUUACAUUUAAAUGUUCAUUUUAUAGUGAAAUUUGAAAUAAUAUUUUUUAUUUAAAAAUUUAUAUAAUAAAAUUAAUUUAAAAAUUAUAACAAAAUAAGAUGAUUUAUUUAUAAAUAAUUAUUUAAUAAAUUAAUAACAAUUUUUUUUUUAUAAAAUCAUUUUUCACAUAAACAAAAAAAUAGAUAAAUAUUAUUUAUCUUAUAAAUAAAAACCAAUAUGAAACUAAAUUAAUUUUAUUAGUUGUAAUUAAUUAAAAUAAUUUAAAGAAAAAUUGAAGAUUAAGAACAAUUAACAUUAUUUAACGUACAUUUUUUUAAUAUUUUAUUCAUUUUAUUGUGAAAUUUGAACUUAAAGAUUAAUAUUUUUCAUCUUAAAAUUUAGACAAUAAAAUUAAUUUAAAAAUUAAAAUAAAACAAAAUUAUUUAUUUUGUAAUUAAUUAUUUAAUAAAUUAAUAAAAAAAAUUAUUUUUUUAGACUCAUUUAUUCACAUAAAUUGAUAAUAGUUUUUUUUUUAAUUGCAAAGUGCAAAAAAAAUAAUAAUAAUAGAUAAAUAUUAUUUAUCUUAUAUUAAAUAUUAUUUAUCAUUUCCAAUUGGGAAAUUUUUCUUUUUUAAGGGAAUUCUCUUUCGGAUUUUUUUUAAUUUAUUUAUUUUUUAUUUUGCAAAUCAUUUCCCAUUUUUUGGGAUUUUUUAUUUUUAUUUUUAAUGGGAAAUCGUCUCUUCCCUUUGGGAUUUUUUUAAAUGAAAAAAAAAUUUGGAAAAUCAUAUCCAAUUGGGAUUUUUUUUUUUUUUUAAGGGAAUUCCUUUUCGGAUUUUUAUUUUUUAUUUUUAUUUUGGCAAAUCACGAUUUCCCUUUGGGAUUUUUUUAAAUUUUUUUUAAAAAAAAUUGGGAAAUCAUAUCCAAUUGGGAAUUUUUUUUUUUAAAGAGAAUUCCCUUUUGGAUUUUUAUUUUUUAUUUUUUAUUUUUAUUUUGGAAAAUCAUUUCCAAUUUUUUGGGAUUUUUUUAAAUUAAAAAAAAAAAUUGGGAAAUCAUAUCCAAUUUUUUGGGAUUUUUUUUUAAUGAGAAAUUAUCUCUUCAAGAGAUGAUUCUCUUUGGGAUUUUUUUAAAUUUAAAAAAAAAAAAAAAAGUUUGGGAAAUCAUAUCCAAUUGGGAUUUUUUUUUUUAAGGGAAUUCCCUUUUGGAUUUUUAUUUUUUAUUUUUUAUUUUUAUUUUGGCAAAUCAUUUCCAAUUUUUUGGGAUUUUUUUUAAAUUAAAAAAAAUUUUGGGAAAUCAUAUCCAAUUGGGAUUUUUUUUUUUUUUUUUUUUUUAAGGGAAUUCUCUUUUGGAGUUUUUUUUUUUUUUUUGGCAAAUCAUUUCCAAUUUUUUGGGAUUUUUUUUAAUGGGAAAUUGUCUCUUCAAGAGACAAUUUCCCUUUGGGAUUUUUCUAAAUUGUAAUUUUUUUUUUUUUGGAAAUCAUAUCAAAUUGGGAAUUUUAUUUAUUUUAUUUAUUUUUUAUUUUUAAGGUAAUUCCCUUUCGGAUUUAUUUUUUAUUUUUUAUUUUUAUUUUGGAAAAUCAUUUCCAAUUUUUUGGGAUUUUUUUUUAAUGGGAAAUCAUCUCUUCAAGAGACGAUUUCCUUUUAUAAAUAAUUGUAUGAGUAUAUUUAAUUUUUUAAUUUUAAAAUCCACUUUUAAUAUAUUUUUAUAUAAAAUUGUAUUAUUUCUUUUUAUAAUAUAUAUAAUUAAUGGUACCAAUUCCAAUUAAAAUUUGAAAUUUCCUGCUUCAUUUAAAUAAUUUCAUGAGUUUAUUACAAGACAUUUGAAUGACAUUAUAUGGAAAUAACUCAAUGUUCAUAUUUAAUGUUAAAAAAAAACUUUCAUUUAAAUAAUUAAAUUUUGAACUAGAACUUACAAUAUCAUUGAGCGGUUGUGUUAGAAGACUCCCCUCUGUUAGGACAUUUUCGCUGAUUGUGACCCUCUUGUUUACAAAGCCCACAUCGCACUUUAACACUUGGUUCUCUCCAAUCCAUUUCAUUCCUAAUCCUUGAAGAUCUUGGUCUUCCUUUAUCAUGUACUAGAGUUGGAUUAGGAUAAACAAUUGGAAAAUUAGGCUCUGGCCAAUAAGCUUGAUGUGGAAUUGGAUUGAAUUAAGGUGUAUAGCAACAAGCAUUUACAUCCAUCCUAUAAUGUUUGUCAACAAAUUGCCAACUAUCAAUCCUUGCACGUGCACAUACAACCAACACAUGUGAACAUGGUAUACCAAAUGAUUGCCAUUUAUUACAAGUACAUGUUCUUUUUUUCAAUUUCACAAUUUGUAUAUUGUUUCCUUUAUCCAUAUGAAACCCAUGGGGAGAAGUUGUAACUUCAAAUAUCUCAUUUGAACGGUGAAAAAUAUUAGCAGUGUGUCCACUAGCCCUUGAUUGAUAUUUUGUUAUUUUGUUAAUGACAUAGGAAGUAUACAAAUCUCCAUUUGCCAUUUGAGUUUGUAUCUCUGUUCGACGAGUCUCGAAAUAUGAAACACAACGAUAGAAAGUUAAUCAAACAAGAGUAGUGAUAGGCAACAUUCUA
rnacentral:lncRNA from 1 species